AACAGUGGAGGUACUCAUUUGCACUCAAAAUUGGUUAUGUUCUUCACCAAAAACUGAUGUUCUUGAGAUUGUAGAUGAAAUGUUAGAAAUUAAAUCAGGCAAAUAUUAUUUGAAGAUAAGUUUCAUAGUUGAAAUUAAUUAGUACUAUUUUUGUUUGUAGAAAUUUUGGGUACUACAACAAAACUUACUUUGAAUGAAACUUGAUGUGGAAUAUGGUUGCGUGCUCUGUAUGUACGUUUGUUUCAUUCAUUCUAUCUAAUAUUGUUAUCUUGACAUUCAUUAUAUCUCAACUCUCUUAAGUUAAGAGUAUUAAGUAUAUAUACAUAUUUGUUGAUUGCAGGAUAUAAUCUAAGGAUACGAAAGAAAUUAAAGGAUUGUUGGACCUGGAACCUUGAAGAGUUGUCUAAGUUUUUAUGUUGACUUUAGUUUAGUGUUUCUUUUUUGAAGGAAUGAAUGUAACUUGAACUCUAAAUGUCGAACUUUGUGUUGUACUGCUGUUUUCUAAAAUUUAUUUGUGCCUAUUUAGUACACACUUAAUGGUAUUUUCUAUCUGAUUGAAUUUUAUAUAAUUAUCGUUGUGAUUAUCAUAUUUUCAUAGAAACCGUUCAUCCAAUCCAAUCGAAUCCAAUGUGCAUUGGAUUCGAUUGGAUUGCAUCCUGACAUCCGAACACAUUGGAUGGGAUUGUAAAAUCCCAAAUCCAAUAAAAAAUUGGAUUGGAUUAGAUUGAUCAAAAUUCAUUGGUUUCAAACCGAUGUAUACUCCUAAUUUCUGACCCUUUUAGCUCAUUCCUUUACCAAUCCAUACAACACAAUCCAACAAGAUGCAUUUUUCGCUUACUUACCAAAAGAGAGAACGUGAAUUUUUCUCUAGAUUAAAAUUCUUAUUGUUACAAUCAGAGGACAUCAAACUCUUAUUUGAAUCAUAACUCUUUCAGAAAUUCAUAAAACACAAUCCACCAAAAUUUAUUUUUUCUCUUGCUCAUCAAAAGAGACAACAUACAUUUUAUAUUUCUUACCUUCUUUUUUUCGUUUUCAGUUCUGCCUCUCACAGGAUAACCUAAUUUGUGAUGAUAACAAAAUGAUAUUAAUAUUUAAAGAGCAUAGGCGCGCGGUUGUACUUUUAAAAUAUAUUAAUAUUUAACGAUUAUGGUCGUGUGGCUGUACUUUGCAAAUAUGUUAAUAUUUAACAAGUAUAGCAGCGCGACUAUACUAUUAAAAUAUUAGUAAAUUUAGGUUUUAGCCACACAAAAACUUUCACUUUUUGAAAAAGCCAAAACUUUUUCAAAAUAGACAGAAAAACCCCUCAACUUUUGAACCAAAGACAUAAAGGAUUCUUUAGAAAAUUCAAAAUAAAUAAAGGUAUUUUUGUCCAUUUUGGCUUAUUUUAAAAAUAUUUAUCUCUCCUUUGGCCUUUUCCAAAAUGUCCCUAAAAUAUUCGUAUAUAUUUAAAGCGGAUAUACUCAUUAAAUAAAUUUUAAUAUUUUAAAAGUACAGCCCAAAAUGGUUUUCAUUUUUGCAAUUAAGUAAUAUCUUAGCCUUUUUUUAAUUACUUUAAUUAGUAAUUAUAUUUAUUUCUUUAGUGGAUAAUUAGUAUUUAAAUAUUUUACUGAUUUCAUAAAUUACUUAAUAAAUAGUAAUUAAUUAUUUUAGAUAAUUUUGUGGACUUUUUAUUUUUAUAUUAUACAAAAUUAGUUUUUCUCAGUUUAAUACAUUCAAUUAAGUAAUAAUUUAGCAUUAUUUAAUAAUUAUUAUUAUUAUUUAUGUUUUAAUUAUUCUUUAUAUAAUGAAUAAUUAGAAUUUAUGUUUUAAUCAUUCUUCAGUUCAUCCAUUCCAAGUCAGACAGGUGCAACUAAUGUGUUUAGGUGCAACAUAAUCCAUCAAGAUGCAUUUUUUACUUGCUUAGCCAAAAAAAGAGAUGCAUUUUUCUCUAUAUUAAAUUUCUUAUUGUUACAAUGGAAGGGAAUCAAACUUUGGAUAUAACACAUGUCAUCACUUACCUUCACCACUUGGUUUGACCCCAAGGUUUAGAUUUCUUACCCUUUUAGCUAUUCCUUUAGCAACACAAUCCAACAAGAUGCAUUUUUCGCUGACUUACCAAAAGAGGAAACAUGAAUUUUUCUCUAUAUUAAAUUUCUUGUUGUUACAAUGGGAGGAAAUCAAACUUUUGAUCUAACACAUGUCGCCACUUACCUUCACCACUUGGUUUGAUCCCGAAGUUUAGAUUUUUGACCUUUUAGCUAAUUCCUUUAGCAAUCCAUACAACAAAAUCCAACAGGAUGCAUUUUUCGCUUACUUACCAAAAGAUUAAAUUUUUUAUUGUUACAAUGGGAGGAAAUCAAACUUUUGAUCUAACACAUUUCGCCACAUACCUUCACCACUUGGUUUGACCCCGAGGUUUAGAUUUUUGACAUUUUAAGCUAAUUCCUUUAGCAAUCCAUACAACACAAUCCAACAAGAUGCAUUUUUUGCGUACUUACCAAAAGAGAAAACAUGAAUUUUUCUCCAUAUUAAAUUUCUUAUUGUUACAAUGGGAGGAAAUCAAACUCUUAUCUUAAUCAUAACUCUUUUAGAAAUUCAUAAAACACAAUCCACCAAAAUUUAUUUUUUUGCUUACUCAACAAAAGAAACAAGAUACAUUUUUCUAUGUAUCUCAGAUUUCUUAAUAAAAUAUUAAAAAUAUAUUUUUAUUUUGUUUAAGGCCACGUGGUUUUAUACCAUUGGAUAUGUGGGCUCCACAUACGUGUCACGUCAGUAAUUUAACCGAAAAUUUGACGGAAGCUAACGGCAAGGACCAUUUUGAUAUGUAGAGGGGAACCUUAAAAAUCAUUAGUGUCACAAAAAAAACGUUAGGGACAAAAGGUGAUAAUUUUACAAACGUCAGGGACCAUUUGUGAUAAAAAGCCUUCUUUUUUUAAAAUGAGCCAACCCAAAAUCAAAAUAGCUUUUCUCUGUCUCAUAAACCACACACCUCUACGAAAAAAAACAUAUCAGCGCUACAAAUAACAAGAUCCACGCCAAGUAAAUACAACGAAACAUCAGGCAUUUCAGGCAUAGGACGCUACUGCCCUACAAAUCAGCAACAAACAUCAACAUGUUAGAUAACAAGAACUGGGAGUGACUGCACAUCGGCAUCAGGCACUUCCGGCAAAUGCGUUACAGCACUACAAAUCUGCAGCAACAGAAAACAAGAAAAGUGCUACGCUAAUCAAUUGUUAAGCAUUAUAGUUGACAUCAGUUGUCAUGAAAACUUUUCCCAGUACUUCUUCAGGAGUGCAAAUGAAAAUUCCUCUCCCUAAAUGAAAGCUAAAUUGGAAACGAAACUAUUAUACAAAUGAAAACCAUUGGAAAAGGGAUUAAAGCCUGAACUAUAGCACAAUCUCUUACAGCAGCAAACAAUAAAUUGAAUACACAAACUUCACUACAGUAGCAGUAAUCAGUCCACCCUCAAAAGUCAUACCAACUUGAUAUUUUCCAUGAGAGCUAAGUUGACUUUAGUCACAAGUUGUGUUCUAGCAACAGAAGCGAGAAAGACAAUCAGCUAAAGGAAAAAAAAAAACCCACACAAGUCGACAUAAUAAAGAUCCCACAGCAAUUUAGUCACCAAUCAUGCUUUUAAUGAACAUAAAAAUCUGGCAAACAAAGAAUUGAAAUGUUCUGCUCUCAGCACUGUAAUACAUUACCUGUCCUUUCUCUUAGUAAGACUCUGCAUCGCUCUUGUCGAGUAAGAGGAGGCUCUCUUUAUAAAAAUCAACAGUACAAUAUUUAUAUCCAGAAAUCCCAAGAUUUUUAAACUGUUUGCUCACAAGGUCUAGUGAAACUAGUUCCUACCUGCCUUCUUUUGUUAGCAGUAACAGUACUUCCCCGCUGUUGCUAAAACAUAAGGCCCUGGGUAAAAGUCUUUGUGGACCUUGUGGACCGAGAGUAAUCAAUUUGGUCCAUGAUUCCUUUCUGCCAUACUCUUUCACCACCCAUAUAUCAAGAACAGAAUUUUCGCGCCUAUUAUCCAUCAUGAAAUCUUUACAACUGUUAUCCCUCAUAAACAGAGCAACAGAUUUUCUAUUUUCGAAAACGGACAAUUGCAAUCCCCACUUGGGAUUCCAAUGGAUAAUCUUCGGCAUAGGUAUCUUACCGAACACCUCCUUGCCCAAGUCAAACGUCAAAAUAAAAUAGCAACCAUCGCCGUCUGAGACUACAGGCCAAUGAAGAACCCCAUUAACAAAAGCAUUGGAUGCAGCUCCAUUUGUUCCACAUGCAGGAGAAACACAACCAAGACUCCUCCAUGUGCCAGUGGCUAGGGAAUAAACCUCAGCUACAGUUGGCCUCUCAUCUUCAUGUUGUAAAGCUACAAAUCGCACAACCUUAUAGUCAUUGGUCAUAGCAUCAAAACCGAACCCAAUAGAAGCAUCAUACCCACCAUGCGUCCUAAAGGUAACUCCAGGCCUGGGAAGGGUCACUAACUUUCUAAUGGCUGGGUUCCAUAUAAAGAAGUUGUAACCAUAAUGGAGGAUAUCAUCCGCAAGGCAGAUUAGCCCGCUACAACUGCCGACCACACGAAGAUGAGAAUUGCACAGUUCUUGCUCUGGAGCAAUUGGAAAUUCGAUCUUGCAGUACACAUCAAAAGCCUGGUUAUCAUAAUGCACACAGUGAACCUCAUCUUUUAUCUCGGAAACGAUCGUUUUGUGGCCGAAGGUGCUGCUACUGUCACAAGAAAUUAUGUGGAGUAGGAGGAGGUCAAUGUCAUCCUGGUUAGCAAAAUCGACUGUUAGGGUUAAGUGGGCGCGGAUAAAGCUUUUGUUCAUGAUCAUGGACCUCCAUGCCUUGCACACUGAGGUGCAAUUGAUCAGAGAUUUAACGGGUAGCCUAAACCCCAAACGUCAUAAUUUUCAAAUCAAACCCAAUCUCUACUCUAUCAAUCAAAACUCCAAACCCAUCAAGGAAAAAAAACACCAACACUAAAGCCAAACCAUCAUUUUAUUUUUAAAAAUUUUAAAAAAAAAAUACCCGACCCGCCCAGGCGCCGCCUAGGCGGCCGCCUAGCGCCUAGGCGCCGAUUUUUCGAAAUUGACAGAAAAAGGAAAGAGAAACUUUAGGAACUUACAAUUUUUGGUCCUGAUGAGCAGAGCCGAAGAAAUGGAGCUGACGUUAGAGAAGAAGAGUGAGGAAGAAAGGAGUAGAACCCUUUCUAGCCUCUAGGACAUUCAUUUCCGUACAUGAUAGUGUGGAAGAAGAAACGCGUCGGCUGAAACCCUCAUGCAUCUUUCUUCUCUAUUUAUAUCUCCGUCCCAGAUUAAAAGCUUGAAUAAGGUUUAUCUAUGGUUGAUCUGGUGGUUUAUGAAUUGGAAAAACUUUCCCGGGAACAAUUUAUGCGGAAAUUUCUUUUUAUCGCCAUAAUGAAGUCUUAUUUCUAUUUUGACCCCUCAUUUUUUUGUAGCUUGUAUAUUUUGCCGAACUUUUUCAUUUGUACUUUUCACAAAUUUUGCCGAAUAAAACAAAUAGGAAUUUCAUUCGUACUUUUUCAUGCAUUGCCCUCUUGCAGCUUCUGUUUGGCGCUGUGUUGAGAAUUAUUGGCCAAGGAGGUUCUUUUCAGGAUUGCUUAAUGAAUUGUUUAACUAACUACAAUGCUCAUAUCACAGUUUCUCUAGCUUUGAGUAAAAUCUUAUUUGUUUGUUGGCAGAUUAGGGAGUCCAUAAAUCAUUGUAUCUUUCGACGUAUAUGCACUCAUCCAACAAAAAGUUUGACAGUUGUUGCUCGCACUUGUGUUGAGUUCUAGCAUAGUACUUCUUCUGUAUCAACUACUAUUCGAGGAGAUCUCGUGGCCAAGCUACUCCAAUCAGAUGGCUUCCGCCCAAGCCCCUAUUUCUCAAGAUGAACUUUGACGGCUCUGUAAAAGCUGCUUCUUCGUCUGAUUCGGUUUUUGUUAUUAGAGAUGCAGGAGAAACACAACCAAGAUUGCUGCCCGUGGCUAGGGAAUAAACCUCAGCUAGAGUUGGCUGCUCAUCUUCCUCCAAUAAAGUCACAAGUCGCACAACCUUAUAGUCAUUGGUCAUAGCAUCAAAACCAAACCCAAGAGAAGCAUUGCUCCUACCAUGCGACCGAAAGGUAAUACCAGACCUGGAAAGGGUCACCAACUUUCUAAUGGUUGGGUUCCAUAUAAAGAAGUUGUAAGCAUAAGAAGGGAUAUCAUCCGCAAGACAAAUUAGCCCAUCACAAGUGCCAACCACACGAAGAUGUGAAUUCCCAAAGUUUUUCUUUGCGGCAAUUGGAAAUUCGAUCUUGGCACAUCAAACGCCUGGUUAUCAUGAUGCACAGAGUGAACUUUGUCUUUUACCUUCUGAAUGACCUUGUUUUGGUCGUAGGUGAGGCUACAGCUACCAGAAAUUAUGUGGAGUAGGAGGAGGUGAAUGUCAUUCCGUUUUCAGAUAUAUAUAGGCCUUUUACACUAUAACUUACCGGUAAGAUAUGGUGUUUUUAGAAAAAUAAGUAAUUUACUCUAUAAAUUACGAGUAAGAUGUUGCGUUCUCAGAUAUAUAGGCAUUUUACACUAUAACUUACCGGUAAGAUAUGGUGUUUUUAGAAAAACAGGUUAUUUACUCAAUAAAAUACGAGUACGAUGUUGUGUUUUCUGAUAUAUAUAUAUAUAUAUAUAUAUAGGCCUUUUACACUAUAACUUACCGGUGAGAAAUUGUGUUUUUAGAAAAAUAAGUUAUUUACUCCAUCAAUUACAGGUAAGAUGUUACGUUCUCAGAUAUAUAGGCCUUUUACACUAUAACUUACCGGUAAGAUAUGGUGUUUUUAGAAAAACAUGCUAUUUACUCAAUAAAAUACGGAUAAGAUGUUGUGUUCUCAGAUAUAUAGGCAUUUUACACUAUAACUUACCGGUAAGAUAAGGUGUUUUUAGAAAAAUAGGUUAUUUAUUCCGUAAAAUACGGUUAAGAUGUUGCGUUCUCAGAUAUAUAGGCCUUUUACACUAUAACUUACCGGUAAGAUAUGGUGUUUUUAGAAAAACAGGCUAGUUACUCAAUAAAAUACGGAUGAGAUGUUGUGUUCUCAGAUAUAUAAGCAUUUUACACUAAAACUUACCAGUAAGAUAUGGUGUUUUUUGAAAAAUAAGUUAUUUACUCAAUAAAUUAAGGGUAAGAUGUUGCGUUAUGAGCUAUAUAAGCAUUUCACAGUAUAACUUACCAGAAAUAUACGGUGUUUUUAGAAAAAUAAGUUAUUUACUCCAUCAAUUACGGGUAAAAUAUUGCGUUUUCAAAUAUAUAUAGGCCUUUUACACCAUAACUUACAGGUAAGAUAUGGUGUUUUUAGAAAAACAUGCUAUUUACUCAAUAAAAUACGGAUAAGAUGUUGUGUUCUCAGAUAUAUAGGUAUUUUAUACUAUAAGUUACCGGUAAGGUGUGGUGUUUUUAGAAAAAUAAGUUAUUUACUCCAUAAAUUACUGGUAAGAUGUUGCGUUCCCAGAUAUAUAGGCAUUUUACACUAUAACUUAUCGGUAAGAUAUGAUGAUUUUAGAAAAACAGGCUAUUUACUAAAUAAGUUACGAUUAAGAUGUUGCAUUCUCCGAUAUAUAGCCUUUCACACUAUAUCUUACCGGUAAGUUAUAGUGUAAAAGGCCUAUAUAUCUAAAAACAGAACAUCUUACCCGUAACUUAUAUAGUAAAUAAAUUAUUUUUCUAAAAACAGUUGGGCUGAGGUGGGCGUGAAUAAAGCUUCGGUUUAUGAUCAUGGACCUCCAUGUAUUGCAGACUGAAGUACAUUUUAUCAGAGAUUUAACGGGUAGCCUAAUUAAGAUCUCUUGUAUGAUUUCCUAAGGAAAAGAGCAUGCGAGCGCUUUAAUUUUCAAUUUGAUCCCUUGUCUGACAUUUUUUACGUUAUCAAUGUCUUGCACAUUCAAAUAGUUGUACCAACUGAGAAAAGCAAUGGAGACAAAACUCAGCUAUAAUUGAGAAAACAAAAUAUCAAGGGAGGUUCUUACUGUAGAGUAACAUUCAUAUACAAUUUUUAGUCGGAAAAUUAAAAGUAUUAAAAUCCAAUCCAAAUCCAUCAGAAAGGAAAAAAAAAUGUUACAAAUUGCCUUUCAAUGUACCAAAGAGCUAGCUUAUUCUUCUUCUAGUAUAUCAUCACGCUGGUAAAACUGUUAAGAGAAAUGAAACCAGAUUAUAUGCUUGGACGUUGUUCAUGAAGGAAGUUGAGGUUCCACCCCAAAACCAAUUGGCUAUGGGGGGAGUAGCCCAACUCCUUAUAAACCCAGGCUUGGUCCCUUAACUUUUCAAUGUGGGACAAACACUCUCAACAUGUCUCCGCACGUGUGGCAAACUUUCAAACCUAACACGUGGACAACACAUAUUGGGUGACGUGGGAGCACGUGUGGCCAUUAGACCCAACACGUGAAGUCUUGCUCUGACCCAAAUUCCACUUUGGAAUCUGCACCGAACCCUGUGCAUGUCCAACAUCAGACAAGUGCCAAGCACACUUGACCAAAUUGCCCUUCCAACUAAAACUCAAAGAAAAAUCUUUUCAGGUUUAACUUUUGUCGAAAAUUCGGCAAUCUCCCCUGUAAUUUGCUUGUUUCCCAAAAUUUUCUUUUAGUUUCCUUUGUAAAUUGCCCUUCUAAGUAAAACUCAAAGAAAAUUCUUUUUAAGGUUUAAAAUAUAUUAAUAUUUAAAGAUUAUGGCUGUGCGGCUGUACUUUGAAAAUAUGUUAAUAUUUAACAGGUAUAGCAGCAUGGCUAUACUGUUAAAAUAUUCGUAUAUAUUCAAAGCAUAUAUACUUGUUAAAUAGCCCAAAAUGGUUUUCUAUUUUGUAAUUAAUUAAUAUCUUUAGCCUUUUUUAAAUUACUUUAAUAAGUAAUUAUGUUAAUUUCUUUAGUGAAUAAUUAGUAUUUAAAUAUUGUACUGAUUUCAUAAAUUACUUAGUAAAUAGUAAUUGAUUAUUUUAGAUUAUUUUGUGGACUUUGUUUUUGUUUUUGUUUUGUUAAUUAUACAAAAUUAGUUUUUUUAUAAUAUUUUCAAUUAAGUAAUAUCUUAGCAUUAUUUAAUAAUAAUAAUAAUACUUGUUUAUGUUUUAAUUAUUCUUUAUAUAAUGAAUAAUUAGUAUUUAUGUUUUAAUCAUUCUUCAUUUCAUACAUUCCAAGUUAGACAGGUGCAACUAAUGUGUGUAGCUGCAACAUAAACCAUCAAGAUGCAUUUUUUAUUUGCUUAACCAAAAAAAGAGAUGUGUUUAUCUCUAUAUUAAAUUUCUCAUUGUUACAAUGGAAAGGAAUCAAACUUUUGAUAUAACACAUGUCGUCACUUACCUUCACCACUUGGUUUGACCCUGAGGUUUGGAUUUCUUACCCUUUAGCAACACAAUCCAACAAGAUGCAUUUUUUGCUUACUUACCAAAAGAGAAACAUGAAUUUUUCUCUAUAUUAAAUUUCUUAUUGUUACAAUGGGAGGAAAUCAAACUUUUGAUCUAACACAUGUCGCCACAUACCUUCACCACUUGGUUUGACCCCGAGGUUUAGAUUUCUGACCUUUUUAGCUAAUUGCUUUAGCAAUCCAUACAACACAAUCCAACAAGAUGCAUUUUUCGCGUAGUUACCAAAAGAUAAAACAUGAAUUUUUCAACAUAUAAAAUUUCUUAUUGUUACAAUGGGAGGAAAUCAAACUCUUAUCUGAAUCAUAACUCUUUUAGAAAUUCAUAAAACACAAUCCACCAAAAUUUAUUUUUUCGCUUACUCAACAAAAGAAACAAAAUAUAUUUUUCUAUGUAUUUUAGAUUUCUUACCUUCUUUUUUUUUCGUUAUUCCAUAAGGGAGUCGAGCCCUUUGCCUAAUCAAAUUCUAACCCAUUUCCCAACCUAUCCUCUCAACUUUAACUAAUUGCUUCACCUAUAUAAAUAUCCUAUCACUACAGGAACUUCAAGUACUUGAGCACAGAAGUCAAUUUCCUAUAUACUAUAUACGUAUCUUAUACAUUCUUGCUAUCUAAUUGCUAACUCAAAAAGACAUGGACAAGUCUUCAUCAAAAUUAGCUCUUCUGGUUGUGCUCAUGGUCAUUGCAUCUGGUAAAACCUCUCAUUCUUGUUUCGCCAUGCAUGGUGUCUAAAAUUAAAUUAAAUUUGGAUAACUCCCAAGAUUUCAAUAUCGACUAAUAUCACAAUAGUCUACUCAUUAUAUAAGUAAAUAAUUAAUUAAUUGUUGGCAGGUGUGAAGCUAUGUGCUGAAGCAAGAACCUUCGGAGUCGUAGAUCCUGCUUGCCCCUAUGAUCCAGAAUGUGCGAAUUUUUGUUGUGCGAACCAGAAAGUAGAGGCACAUCACACCAUUCCUCCUCCCCUUUCCACCACGGCCAUGAACUGAAGUUAAUUAAUUUCAGGCACAGGCACACAUGACAUUGUGUUGUUGCCUAGUUUGCUCAAUAAAAUUGGAAACCAUAGUUUACAGGGAUGAUGAAGAAUUAAUACAAAUAUGGCUGCUGUAUUUCUCUUACUAAUUUAUCUUUUAUGAUACAAGCGAUAUCUGGGAUGGGAAGAUCGAAUCUAAGGGGGGUGUAUCCAAUUCAUACUUAUAAAGACUUUUUUUAAGUGAGUGACUUUCAUAGAGAUGACAAAUUCUUAAAUACUUUCAUAGAGUUGAUAAAAGUCACAAAUAAAUUGGCAAGACUUUUGCUCUUAAUAAUUAGCCUUAAAAGUAUGGAAAAGUCAUUCAUUUAAUAAGCUUUUUAAAAGUCAUUAACUUUUUGAAUACCACUAAACUUUUAAAUACUUUUUAAAAGUCAUAAUUGAAUACCACCAAACUUUUAAAUACUUUUUAAAAGUCACAAUUGAAUACCACUAGACUUUUAUAUACUCCUUAAAAGUCUAAAUUGAAUACCUCAAGACUUUUAAACUCUAUAAAAGUCAUUAAAAGUUUGAAUUGGAUACACCCCCCAAAGUGCAACUGUAAAUACUCUUAACCACUUGAGCUACAAACGCUUUACAUUAAUUUAUUUAUUUUUAAUACAAACAAUAAUCGGAAUUACUUGAAAUUUAUCUUAGUAAUUCGUUUUGAUCUUCCAUUCAAGCUCAUAAGACAAUUUGAAACAAGAAUCAAUCGGCUGAUUACACAUGUAACAAUAGGCAUUAGGGGCUUUGUGAAAAAGUGAAAGUUAUAGGCAAAGACUUUGGGCCUCUCCCGUUUGUGACUUCUAUGUGGGCUUAAGCUCGGCCAAACGAACAAAAGUAUAUAUAUCAAUCCAUUCCAAGUGAGACAAGUACGUAAAUAAUUUGGGUAGUGUAAUGCAUUUUUUGCUUUCUUAACCAAAAAAAAAAAAAGAAUUGCAAUUUUUACUUGCUUACCAAAGAAAAAUAUGCAUUUUUCACUGUAUUAAAUUUGUUACCCUCUUUAGCUAAUUGCUUCACCUAUAUGAAUAUAUAUACUAUGUGGGAUUCAAAGCAAGUACUUGAGUGCAACAAACAACAAACGCCAUUACCAAUAUUAUACAUUCCUGCCUUGCUAUCUAAUUGCUAACUAAAAAAAUACGUGGACAAGUUUGUAUAAAACAAAUGGUUUUUUUGGCUGGACUCUUGGUUAUUGCAUAUGGUAAGAUAUCUCAUCCUCAUUAUUUACUUUUGCGAUAAUGAUACUAGAUAUAUCAGUUAAAUUUAGGCUUCAACUCUUGAGUGUUAGGUGCCCUAAGUCCGACCAAAACUCAAAAGUUAAAACCCAAAAUAUGGCCUCUAUCAAAACAUUAUGUAUUCUAAAUUAGCAACUAUCUCGUGCAAAUGGAUCGAAACUAGCAAAAAUAUCAUGAAAAUGCAUUAAGAAUAAGUUGGUAAGUUUAUAACUCAAAUGUGUUGGCAUGGAGGGUCUGGAUCUAUAUGCAGAAGCAAUUGAAGUGUCUUGAUCCAGCAAGUCCAUGUUUACCAAAUGCAUUUGGUCAGUCAAACAUUGAAAAACAUGCUUCCGAUUUUGAAAAUCGUGAGGUUGAAUUUGAACUAAGUGAUUUGUUAUUGACUUUCUUUUUCAACUCUGUCUCUCACAGGAUAACCUAAUUCGUGAUGAUAACAAAAUGAUAUUAAUAUUUAAAAUGUAUACCCAUGCGGGUCGCGGCUGUACUUUUAAAAUAUAUUAAUAUUUAACGAUUAUGGCCGCGCCGUUGUACUUUGAAAAUAUGUUAAUAUUUAACAUGUAUAGCCGCGCGGGUAUACUGUUAAAAUAUUUGUAUACAUUUAAAGUGGAUAUACUCGUUAAAUAGAUUUUAAUAUUUUAAAAGUAUAGCCCAAAAUGAUUUUCUUUUAUGUAAUUAAGUAAUAUCUUAGCCUUUUUUUAAUUACUUUAAUUGGUAAUUAUUUUAUUUCGUUAGUGAAUAAUUAGUAUUUAAAUAUUUUACUAAUUUCAUAAAUUAAUUAAUAAAUAGUAAUGAAUUAUUUUAGAUUAUUUUGUGAACUUUGUUUAUAUAUAUAUAUUACAAAAUUAGUUUUCUUUAGUUUAAUAUUUGUAAUUAAGUAAUGUCUUAGCAUUAUUGACCAAUUAUUAUUAUUACUUAUAUUUUAAUUACUCUUUAUAUAAUGAAUAAUUAGUAUUUAAGUUUUAAUCAUUCUUCAUUUCAUCCAUUCCAAGUCAGACAAGUGCAACUAAUGUGUGUAGCUACCACAUAAACCAUCAAGAUUCAUUUUUUACUUGCUCUGCCAAAAACAGAGAUGCAUUUUUCUCUAUAUUAAAUUUCUUAUUGUUACAAUGGAAGGGAAUCAAACUUUUCGUAUAACACAUGUCGUCACUUACCUUCACCACUUGGUUUGACCCCAAGGUUUAGAUUUCUUACCCUUUUAGCUAUUCCUUUAGCAACACAAUCCAACAAGAUGCAUUUUUCACUUACUUACCAAAAAAGAAAACAUGAAUUUUUCUCUAUAUUAAAUUUCUUAUUGUUACAAUGGGAGGAAAUCAAACUUUUGAUCUAACACAUGUCACCACCUACCUUCACCACUUGGUUUGACCCCGAGGUUUAGAUUUCUGACCUUUUUAGCUAAUUCCUUUAGCAAUCCAUACAACACAAUCCAACAAGAUGCAUUUUUCGCUUAUUUACCAAAAGAGAAAACAUGAAUUUUCCUCCAUAUUAAAUUUCUUAUUGUUACAAUGGGAGGAAAUCAAACUCUCAUCUAAAUCAUAACUCUUUUAGAAAUUCAUAAAACACAAUCCACCAAAAUUUAUUUUUUCGCUUACUCAACAAAAGAGACAAGAUACAUUUUUCUAUGUAUUUUAGAUUUCUUACCUCCUUUUUUCUUUAUUCCAUAAGGGAGUUGAGCCCUUUGCCUAAUCAAAUUCUAACCCAUUUCCCAACCCUAUCCUCUCCACUUUACCUAAUUUCUUAGCUUUUAACUAAUUGCUUCACCUAUAUAAAUAUCCUAUUACUACAGGAACUUCACGUACUCGAGCGCAGCGGUCAAUUUCCUAUAUACUAUAUACAUAUCUUAUACAUUUCUGCUAUCUAAUUGCUAACUCAAAAAGACAUGGACAAGUCUUCAUCAAAAUUGGCUCUUUUGGUUGUGCUCAUGGUCAUUGCAUCCGGUAAAAUCUCUCAUUCUUGUUUCGCCAUGCUUGGUGUCUAAAAUUAAAUUAAAUUUGGAUAACUCCCAAGAUUCAAUAUCGACUAAUAUCACAAUAUUAUACUCAUUAUAUAAGUAAAUAAUUAAUUAAUUGUUGGCAGGUAUGGAGCUAUGUGCUGAAGCAAGAACCUUCGGAGUCGUAGAUCCUGCUUGCCCCUAUGAUCCAGAAUGUGCGAAUUUUUGCUGCGCGAACCAGAAAGUAGAGGUGCAUCAUGCCAUUCCUCCUCCCCUUUUCACCACGGCCAUGAACUAAAGUCAAUUAAUUUCAGGCACACAUGACAUGGUGUUGUUGCCUAGUUUGCUCAAUAAAAUUGUAAACCAUAGUUUACAGGGAUGAUGAAGAAUUAAUACAAAUAUAGCUGCUAUAUUUCUCUUAUUAAUUUAUUUUUUAUGAUACAAGCGAUAUCUGCGAUGGGGAGAUCAAACCUAAGGUGCAACGAUAAUGCUCUUAACCACUUGAGCUACAAACGCCUUGCAUAUAUUUAUUUAUUUUUAAUACAAACAAUAAUCGGAAUUACUUGAAAUUUAUCUUAGUAAUUUGUUUUAAUCUUUCAUUAAAACUCACAAGGCACUUUGAAACAUGAAUUAAUCGGGCUGAUUACACAUGGAACAAUUGGCAUUAGGGCCUUUGUGAAAAAGUGAAAGUGAAAAUAGGCAAAAACUUUGGGCCUCUCUCGUCUGUGACUUCUAUGUGGACUUAAGCUCGGCCCAAUUAUGGGUGACAAACCCCACAAACAAAAAAUAUAUAUCAAUCCAUUCCAUGUGAGACAGUUGUAAAUAAUUUGAGUUGUGUAAUGCAUUUUUGGCUUUCUUACCAAAAAAUAAAGAUGCAUUUUUUACUUGCUUACCAAAGAAAAAUAUGCAUUUUUCACUGUAUUAAAUUUGUUAACAUCUUUAGCUAAUGAGUAAUGUUACACUUACCACAUUUUUAUUCCACAUUUCUAUACAACAUGAUGUGACAUGUCCAUAUCAUAUGUCACAUCAAUUAAAUCAAUGAAGUGUAUUUUAAUAAAGAUAGUUUAAUUGAUAAUUUUUUUUAUGGUGUUAAUAAAUCAUAAAAGAAAAGAAAAUGUUAAAUAAUUUUAAUUGAUAUAUGAUUGUCCACCUCAUCUGCCACAUAAGGUGGUAUAAAAAUAUGAUAUACAAAUGUGGUAAGAGUAACAUUAUUCUUAGCUAAUUGCUUCACCUACAUAAAUAUAUACUAUGUGGGAUUCAAAGCAAGUACUUGAGUGCAACAAACAACAAAUGCCAUUACCAACAUUAUACAUUCCUGUCUUGCUAUCUUAUUGCUGACUAAAAAAUACAUGGACAAGUUUGUAUAAAAAAUGGCUUUUUUGGCUGCACUCUUUGUUAUUGCAUAUGGUAAGAUAUCUCAUCCUCAUUAUUUACUUUUGCGAUAAUAAUACUACAUAUAUGAGUUAAAUUUCGGGGGGAAAUUUUUACAUGAACCAGCCAAUAUGACUUUAAAUCUUUUCUAAAUGUGUGUGUAGGCCCACGUGUGGACACGUGAUCAAAGAAUUGUUACAUUGGCUACCAACGAAGAUAGACAAUAGAAAUUCUAUUAAUAUUCAUCUUAUUUUUUGCCAUUUCUCCAUAAGGUAUGUAAUCCCCAUGAGAAGAGAACUACCAAAUUGAGGGUGGAAUUUUUAUAUGAAUUAGGCAGAAUGACGUCAAAUAUUUGCCAAAUGUCUACGUGUAUGCCACCCACGUGUCGAUACGUCACUAAAGAGGACCACAUUUAAAUAAUUUGAAAGUGAAUCGGGAGAGGGGGUUGUUCUCACACACUAUCAAAGUGUCAUGAGAGUUUGAACAUGAGAUCACUAGUCUGCAAGUGAAGGCCCUUUUUUUGGGCCAAACCUCGUUGGCCAGGUCGAAACUGGCAGUCUUCACCAAACCAACCAAGAACACAUGAGAUUUAACCUGGUUCAGCCUUUAUAUGCCUACGUUCAUGGAGAGGAGAUCAGAGUAAUUUACUAGUUUCUUAAUCCAUUGACAAAGGGUCAAAGGGUCAAAAAAAUUCAACUAAUUACAUUCAUUAUCAAAAUUGCAAUCUGAGAAAGAAACUUAUAAUGAAACUGAUACAAGAAUCACAAAAAAGUAUGGCUUUUCCUUUUACAAGAAUAGCUGGCGAGAAUCAUCAAUCAUAUAGCAGCUUUGCAGAUUGGGUUCUCAAGGUUUUGCUUUCAUGCUUCUUAGUUUUUUCAACAGCCUGCUCUUUUUUCGAUAUAGCCCUUACUAUGGCUUUUUUCUUUCGGGCAUUUUUUGAUCUCUUCAUUUGCCUUCCCUUUAUCUUUCUGUUACGGGAAAAUUUUCAAAAUUAAAGAGCUGUAAACAAAAAAACAGAAAACAGACAGAUGCAAUAAACAAAGGAGCUGGAAAUGAAAUGAAACCAGGAAAGGCAAAUCAAUGACUUCAAUCACAGAAGCAUUAAAUGGGUAAAUUAAACAAACAAAUAACAUAUAAGUUAAUGGGAUGAGGUAGAAUUUCUUCAUUCAUCGUUAGCCACCCUUAGCCCAUAAGAAAGAGAAAUAUAUUAAUCAGGAGGGCAAAAUCCUCGACCCUAUUUUCACAGGAAAAACAUUUUUAAUCAAAUUCUAAUCACGUGCCACAUCAUUGAACCCUUCCCUUCCCCAAAUUUCUCUCCUCUCAUGCCUUAAAUCAUAACCCUAUUCCUGCACUUUUGACAUGAUCAGUCACAGAGCAGUAUCAACAAGCUACAAAAACAAGUCUCCUCAUUACCCGUUCUAACCAUGCUCGAAUGACCCCCAAAAACAUAGUGAUGUUAAAGUAGUUCCUUCUCAACAACAAAACAUGAAGAAGUAACCAGGCUAGAUCACAGGCAAAAAGUACUUCAGAGUGAGAGUAGCAGAGAUACUCCCCUGUCGAAGAACUAGGUACUAGAAAACCAUAGGUUGACUAUCAAAGUGACGAUUUGCAAUGUUUGUCAUGCCAUGCAGUAAUACCACAGGCCAUCUAACACAGCCAUUUUCCUAACACGUACUUUAUACAACCCAACCCAUCUGCGCCACUUAAGGUGUUGAACCGUUAAAAAAUGCAGCAAAUUUUUUAUACAUAUGAAAUUCAUCCGAGACUUUUUAUAGAAAUUUGAAAAUUCUCACAAUAUGCAUAUAAUUGGUUAAAUCUAUCUAAUGAAUAGUAAAUACAAAAUACAUUCCAAGAUAAUUAUGAAUGAAAUCGAUUUUGUUUAAAAUUUGAAAUUAUGCAAUAUCUUAUCAAGUAAACAACCUAUAUGUUCACACAACAAAAAGAGGACUAGUAAACAUCCACAAACAUUAAAGACCCUGUAGCACCACAUAUGCACUCGUUUAUUUGAAUUGAACCCAGAAAGCAGCCUCACCCAUAAUCUUUUAGCAAUAGCUACAAUACCCAAUUAACACAAAUCAAGACCACAAAUCAAUCAGUCGAAGAAAAUCAUGUUUAAAUGUGUGUUUAAGGUUUAAGAUUUUAAAUUUGUGGUCUUGAUUAUCACUCCUCUAAUAGAAAAACCCAUUAACCUUAUAAAAAUGAGUGCUUGGUAAGAAUUGAUACUUACAAACUGGAAGCACCACCACUUGGGUUGUGAGCCCCAGACUCUGAGGUGUCCAUUGCUGCACAAUCAAUGUACAGAAAGGGUCAAAAUUCCCCAAAGCUAAGGGGAGAGAGAGAGAGAGAGGAAAGUUAUAGUCAUAGAAUUUUAUGAAAUUAGAACAGGACUUAAUACCUUGAGGCAAAUCUGAAACGGGAUCUCCAGUGAUGUCCAUUGAAGCGGCAUCGUUUCUCUUCUUCUUGUUCCUGUUCUUCGCCAUGGCUUUCGAGAGAGAGAACCGAAUAAUCCUGUAAAGGUUGAGCCUUUGAGGGAAUAAACCCUAGGCUGAGCACACAAGAGCAGAUACCACAGAGGACCCGCUUAAAGGUGGGUAAUUGCCCGAGCGGACCAACCGAAUUUCAAUUGGACCACCUUUAACCUUAUUAUGUUGGGCCAUUUUGAGAAUUGUUGAGAAGAGUCGAGGGUGCAAACAAAUCUUGUGUUAUUUACUAUUAGAAGACCCGAAAGGCUAAAUGAGGACUUUAGUGUGAGGAGUUUAUUUGAGGGGUUAUAAGAGAUAGUCUACUAUAAAGGUGAGUGGGUUUCUUACACACAUUGCAAGGUUUUAUGGGAGUUCAAACUUGUGACCAUUGAUUUAUAAAUCAAGGCCUUUUUUAACUAGGCUAUACCCAUUGGCAUCUAGUGUUAUUUACUUCUUGUUUUAUGCAUCUACUUUUCUGAUCAGUGUCUACGAGAUAUUUGAGCUAGGAAAAAAUUGAAGUCAAAGCCUAUACUACGAUUUUGUUUUAAAAAAAAUCGUAUAGUCGGGCAGCUAUACUUAUUUUUGACAUGUGGUGCCUAAUCGUUAGCGGGUCCUUUUUUAAAAAAAAUAGUACAACCAUGCAACUAUAUUUAGUUUUUUUAAUGUUUUAAAUGUACUUGGCUUGACAUGUAGAACAUAAUCACCAGAGGGUCCCCUUUUUUUAUAUAAAAAAUAAUAUAGCCACACGGCUAUACUGUUUUACACGUGAGCGCCUAGGCGCAAUGCGAUUGCUCUGUUUUUUGUUUUUUUUCAAUAAAUAGUAUAGCUGCGUGUCGAUUUUUUUCUUAUUUUUUUAAAAAAUAGUCUACCCAUGCGGAUUUACUGGCUUUUUUAAUUCUCUUUAAUAAAUCGUAUAGCCGAGCGGCUAUACUAUAUAUAUAUAUAUAUAUAUAUAUAUACUGGAAUCCUUUUUUUCUUUCAAAUUUUUUUGACGAUUUUCAUUUAUCGAUAAGAGUAAUUAUUCAUUACUAUUAGGCCAUUACCCAAGUCUCUAUUAUCCCUUUUUAAUUUUUUACUUUUCCAGAGUUAUUACACAUAUAAAAAAUUUAGCACUUUCACGUUUAAUACUCUAUUAUACACGUACGUACGUUUUUUUGAAUAAUACAUUCAUGUUCUAUACAUGUCUCAUGUUUUUUAAAAAGCAAACGUACAAUAGUCGUGUUGUAUAUGCACGUACGUAUUUCUAAUGUUUAAUACACAUAUUUUUUACAAAAUUUUCAGUAAGACACAUAAAAUUUACGUAUUAUACAAAUAAUUCUCAUAUAUUAUUGAAUAAGAAUAAUAUAUGUUAUAAAAAUUAUAUUAUAAUAUUAUAUAGUGGCCGAUUAAUAUAUGCUUUAGAUAUGUUGAAACUAGCAAAUUAAUAUCUAUAAAGUACAAAUUAAUGCAACUAGGAGGGUCUUUUUUUCUUAAUUUUUUUCUAUUAAAGAGUAUCGCCGUGCUGCUAUACCUUUUAAAUAUAAUGUAUUUAAAUAGUAUCGUCGGGUGGCAAUACUACGAUUUUUUUUUAAACGUAUAGCCGGACGGCUAUACUUAUUUUUGACAUGUGGCACCUAAUCGCUAGCGGGUCCUCUUUUUAAAAAGAAUAGUAUAGCCGCCCAGCUAUACUCAAUGUUUUUAAUUUUUAAUUUUUUGACACGUGGCACAUAAUCGCUCUGGGGUCCUCUUUUUUACAUAUAAAAAAAUUAGUAUAUCCGCACGACAAUACUCAUUUUUUUAUUUUUAUUUUUUUUAAAAUAGUAUAGCCAGGCGGCUUUACGGGUUUAUUGUCUUUAAUAAAUCAUAUAGCCGAGCGGCUAUACUAUAUAUAUAUAUAUAUAUUGGAAUCCUUUUUUUCUUUUAAAUUUUUUCUAUGAUUUUUGUUUAUCGACAAGAGUAAUUAUCCAUUAAUAUUAAGCCAUUACCCGAGUCUCUAUUGUCCCCUUUUAAUUUUUUACUCUUCCAGAAUUAUUACCCGUAUAAAGAAUUUAGUACUUUCACAUUUAAUACUCUAUUAUACACGUACGCAGUGACGGAUCUAUUAAGGAGCAAGGAGGUGCAGCUGUACCUCCCCCCGCCGGAAAAUCACCUGGAGAGGCCGGAAUUUGCCCCUUUGAUGGUGCUCACCAUUUGUUCGAUUAAAUGUCUCAAAGAGGCUCUCCUGUUUUGGUAGUGAAAAAUCGCAUCUAUUAUGACAAGACUCCUUCAGAUGUGUGUUUAGUUAGAAUUGCAUACUUCUUUUUCUGGCACAAAGACGCUACGCAAGGAAGAAGAUGUGAGAGGAAGAGGAUGCGCGAGGAAGAAGAUGCACGAGGAAGAAGAUGUGUGCUGUUUAUUUUGGGUUUCUCAUUAAAACGAUGUCUGUUGUAAAUAAUAAGGUGGAGCCCACCACUUGUUGGAUGGAGCUUUACCUACUCCACCACUUGUUGGAUGGAGCUUUACCUACUCCACCACUUGGUGGAAGGAGCUUUACCUACAAAAGGGUUGAUCCCUCCUUGUAAUGUUCAAACAGAAUACACAGAGAUGAGAUUGAAAACACAGAUAUGAGAUAGAGAAAACAUUCCAUUCUCUCCAUCUCAAUUUCUCUCCAAUUCCUCUUGAUUUAUAACACGUUAUCAGCACAAGGCUCUAACCAGCUGAGUUCUCUGAUAAAACCCAGAGACCAAAAUCAACCGGAAUUCUCAGCUCUCUCUGUCUCCCAUAUCUGUAGAGAUAUUCCCACUGAAGCCUCUGAACAUCGCCGAUGCUCAACUUCUCAACCCCAAAUCCCAAAACCCCCCGUAUAUAUUCUUUGACUCAAUUAAUUUGUUUCCACCAGGAAACUUCAUCAUCUUCCUCAGUAAAUUAACAAGUCCCAGAUCGUCAUUUCCUUCUCAUCUUCUGCUCUCGCCAUCGUGCCAACUUACAAUAUUAUUAUGACUUCAUCGUCAAUGUGUGAACAAGUUUAAUACCAACAAGCAAUUUCCAAACAGACCAACCUUUCACCACCAACACCCCCGCCUCCGCCAACAACAAGCAACAAGCCGCCAUUAAAUCCCUCACUUUCCAGCUUAAGGACAUGGCAUUGAAGGCCUCGGGAGCUUACAGGCACUGCGCCCCCUGCACCGGUCCGGCUGCUCAGAGUCGGCUCAAGGGGACCGGCGAGUCGGAUGCUGACUCGGACAGGUUCAGGUGGUCGUACCGGCGGACCGGGAGCUCAAGCUCCACGACGCCGAGGACUUGGGGGAAGGAGAUGGAGGCGAUCGCUCUGCUGGUGCUGCUGGAACCCGAAUUCAAGCUCCAAGAAGAGCAGCAACGCCUUGCCCCGUAGCUCCAGCUCUCGGGCUCGGUCCCUCACCGACCCUCUCCUCCAGCCUCACCAGCUUGUUAACCAGAAUGUGCGCUACAUUUACAGGGCCAGAGUGUUAACCAAAGGAUCUUGUUUUGGUUCGAUGUGGACGAAAUCAGAGUCGAUUUGCCGCCUUCUGCUAGCAUUUACUUCACUGUGGGCAUUAUUAUUAACAAGAAGCACUUUCCUAAGAAAUCUUUAGCCUCAUCUGAUAACCAGAGAUUUGGAAGCAAUCUGAAGCAUGAGGUCCCAGGGUCUCGCCCCAGCUUUCAAAUCCCAUGGCUGCUUCCCAGUCAUCAUAAAGAACACCAGAUAUCAAAACCGGCUGGAUGUCCAUGAAUGGCAAACCCAGGAUAUUUUAUUUUAUUCCAAAAGCAACCGGCUACACACCAUAUGUCCACUCUCGAUGCAGGUAGUGAUAAGCACAUGAGGUACACAAAUACCAGGAUUGAUGAGUAGCACCACCGAAAAAGAACAGCACAUGUUGUCGAGUGCGCAUGAUUACAGCCCCACCCACACAUUCUGCUGCACAUGUGAAAACCCACCGAAACACUGAAAAAAAAAAAAAAUCACUCAGCAAGGGCAUAAGCGAAAGAAUAAGCGAUAAGAUCUCUGCUCCCUUAUCUUCCCUAUUAUUUCCUAUUAUAUUUAUCUGCUUUUCUUUUACUAACCAUUAACAAAAAUGGACCCUUGGUAAUACUAAACAUAUUAUUAGUGGGAGGCCGUUACUAAUACUAACAUUUUUCUUAUUUUAUUCGGUGGUGGUUUUAACCCCACAUUUAUUUUAUUUACUGUAUGGUGUAGGUUUAUUACCCAUACAACCAGUAUUUAUUUAAAAGGGUGGUGCGGGUUUAUCGUCCACGCCUUUACUUUUAUUUAAAUGUAUGGAGCAGAAUUAGUGCCCAUACAAGCACAAUUUACUGCACAUUUAAUUUUAUUUAAAGUAUGGUGCGGGAUUAACGUCCAUACAGCAAGCAAUUUAAUUUAUGAAUUUAAUUUACCGCACAUUUACAUUUAUUUAAAGUGUGGUGCGAGUUUAUCGUCCAUACCGGUAAUUUAUUUACCAGCAAUUUAUUUUAUGGAUUAAAUGUGCUGUAUGAUGAGUUUUUACAGUAAGCAGAUCAGGACCAGAAGUUCCUUGAUCCUCAUCAUACAAUUACAUCAGGAUUUGAAGAUCCUUGAUGAUGAUGUUAAUAUGAGAGCUGGCAGUCUCUCCGGUACUAUAUUUGUAAACAUGUGAUUGGACUUGAGGGUCCUUGAUCCUUGACAUGUAAAUAAGGACUUGGGGUUCCUUAAUGAUGUAACAGUACCGUAUUGGUUCAUAAUGCCGUACACAUGGAUGAUAACUGUACUGGCAAAUGUACUGUACACAUGAAUAGUGUCGUAUACAUGAAUAGUGAUGUAUGCAUAAAUAUUUACCAUUUUGGGUAAACUAUCACCAUUCAAAAGGGAACCUGCAGUUCCUUAAACUCAUGGAUGAGCAAUUAAAUGAGAUGUCAGAAGUUCAUCAAAAUAUGGACAAUUAUGUAAGGGCUUGAAGUCCAGAAAUAUGUACAGAAAAUUGUAAAAAUGUCCAUACCAUGAGAAUAUGUGAUUUUGGCCCGAAGUUCAAAAUCUAAGGGGAUUGAAUGUCUAUACCAUGAGAAUAUGUGAUUUUGGCCUGAAGUUCAAAAUCUAACAGUGUUGAGAACCUGAAGUUCCAACAAUUAAAUGGACAACCCUUGAGGUAUUAUUGCAAAUUGUGGUACGCCACAUAUUUCUUUGGCAUAAGAGAAUGAUGAAUUUAAUAAAGUUCGAUUCUGUUAUAAUCGACACCUCAAGGAAGAAAUAUAUUUUGUGAAUUCCGGUUGUUAAGAAUACACCGUGAAAUGGAUAAUAUCAAUAUAAAUCUCAAAUGAUGAAUUGAGGCUUCCCACACAUUUUGAUAUAUCUAUGAGAAAUCCCGAAUUUGAGAUUGUGGGUAUAUAGUAGUUAAUGCUCUUCACUACUAUAUUACGAUAUUAUCGUAGCUUUUACUCAAUUCAUAUUUCAUGUCCAUUUGAAAAGGGCAAAUAAAUUCUGAGUUCUGUGUUUAGCCCAGGCCAAAAGUUUGAAAUAUGAAAUUUGGGAGAGUCGAUGUGGUUAUUUGAACCUAUAAGGCACAAGGUUCCAAACCGUCAUUUUGAAAAGACGUAAAAACCACAGGUGCAAAUUUUAAGAAUGUGCGCAAUUAUUAUAACAGGAAAGGAGCAAGUUGAAACGCAGUUGCUCCAAUCAAGUUUUGCAAAGGCCAUAUCUAUAGGAGGAAAUAUGGCUACAGUUUCCAGGAUCCCAAUAUUAUCUCAGAUCCCCAUAUUAUCUUUCUCUUUCCCAGAGUCCAAAACUUCACGUGACCUCUGAUAAUGCCUAUCGGCACUUUCGGCGUUUUCAAGUAUUAUUUUCGUCAAAGCUGAUCUUGCUUUACGGAUUUCACGGAGCUACUUUUUCAAAAGUGCCCCGAGAAUCUCGCAAUUUUCCUAUGGUUAAUUUGAAAUUCACCAGUUCUACCUAUUCAUCUUAUUUGUGUAUAAAUGUGUUACUAACGAAAUUUUCUUUGCAGAAGACAUCAAGUUUUCUCCAUACCUAGUGAUGCGAUAUCUACUUGUUUUUAUUAUCAGUGAGCACUUAAUAUGCCCGAGAAGCAAGACUAUCUCUGAUCAUCCAUUCAGGAAGCGAGACUAUCCCUGAUUACGUUUCCGCCACAUCAGGGAACUGUGAAGGCAACCUUAUACUCUAAUCUCCGGAAGUUCUUCUAAACUAGAAGAAAUGAGAGCUUGUCGUUUGCUCCCACCAGCUUCCUUCCUUGAUUGUUGAGCUUGUUGUCUGCUCCCACCAGCUUCAUUCCUUGAUUGCUUACCUUCUCUUGCAAUCAAUAUCACAUUAUUUUUGUAUUUUUUCUCUUUCUGUAACUCUCUGAGGAUUAUUUGUUUUUGACAGAGAAAAGAGUUGUGAUUUUACUCUUGCAGGAUAUAACUAGAUCAUCAAGCGCUACAUUUACUGGGCCGAUACAAGCUUGAAUGAUACUUGAGAAAAGUUUCUCCCACCUAAGGAUGUAAGCAAUACUUGUGUUAUUUUAUGCUUAUAUACUUAUUUGAUAUUUUAUCUUGAAAGGUAACCAAAUGGAAAGAUAAGUCCGUUCCAAAAGAAUGGCUUGUAUGUAUCCAUGAAUUAUUAAUGCAAAUUUUACAGAUUGUAAGUUGGAUACAUUGAUAAUACACUACACAGAUUAAAGUCCCAUAAGAACAUAAUAUGGGUAUAGCAGUGAUCAAUAUGAUGCACGCCUGUUGCGUAGCAAAUGAUGUGGAUUGAAGUCCCGAAAGGACAAUCCUUUGACAUGUCAAUAUUGAUAUUAUGCACGCCUAAUGCGUAGCAAAUUAUAUGGGUUAAAGUCCCAUAAUAUGGGUUAAAGUCCCAGAAAUUAAUUGACAUGUCUGUAUUAAUCUGUGGCAUGCCUGCAGCAUGACAGAUAUAUGUAUCCAUGAAUUAUUAAUGCAAAUUUUACAGAUUGUAAGUUGGAUACAUUGAUAAUACACUGCACAGAUUAAAGUCCCAUAAGAACAGAAUAUGGGUAUAGCAGUAAUCAAUACGAUGCGCGCCUGUUGCGUAGCAAAUGAUGUGGAUUGAAGUCCCGAAAGGACAAUCCUUUGACAUGUCAAUAUUGAUAUUAUGCACGCCUAAUGCGUAGCAAAUUAUAUGGGUUAAAGUCCCAUAAUAUGGGUUAAAGUCCCAGAAAUUAAUUGACAUGUAUGUAUUAAUCUGUGGCAUGCCUGCAGCAUGAUAGAUAUAUGGGUUCUAAAUGUUCCAACUCUCUAAAUAGAGAUUAUCCACGCCCUACUGUAAAAUAACGCUCCAUUGGAGGUUAUAAUCCACAUUCUCACAUAAUAAAAGCCCCAUGAAGUGGCUUGGGUAUCCAAAAGCAAAAGAAAUGCUUAUAAUUGAUGCAUGCGCAUGCACAUGAGAAUUGUGAGAUCAUGAAUUGAUGAAUGACAAUUUUUGGUUUUGGAGUAGCUACUCAAAUCAUCAAUGGGCUGUGUUGAUUGGAACCACGUUCAAUUAUUAAAUGUCGACAAUAUUAUUGGCCAAAAUAGAAUGAGGUAAUUCCAUUAUAGAUGAGAAUGAACGUGAAAGAACAAACCCACAGUACGAACCCCAAAAUUUGUUAAUACUGAAAGUUAUACUUGGGUGUUCGGAAUAAAAGGGAAUAUACCUACUUUGUAUGACACACUGUUUCUGGCAGAAACAAGGAAUAUUGGGUUUUCUCCAUAUUUACAGAUUCAAUUGUGCCCCCCCCCCCCCUUUAUUACACAAUUACGGAGACCAACAUAUUAUCUUUAAGGGUUAUUGAAUGCACGGAGCAUAUCGCCAGAAGCGAUUUCCUAAAGAUGUAUAAAUAGCUGGGUAAAAGCUAUAUAAUGUGUUAUAAAGUUUAAUCCCUUUUAAACAAAAUCCGUUGAGAGGAUUGACAUUGCAUAAAGCAAGUCCCUAAAGGACAUGUACUUGAAGCACAAAAUUUGUACUCAAUAUUAAUGUGCAUAAAUUACCUCAGUGAGUACAUUGAUUAUAAUGUGAUUGCAACACAUUAAAGCUUCUGCAGAAUUCAUGAAAUAUUUGUCUCGACUUAAGGAUCGAGCAUUAUGCCAACGAGAUUCUUGCUUAUACUAAGAGAGUCUUAUCCGUUGGUCCUUAAAUGUUUUUCCGGAAGUAUACUAGACCAGAUAGAGCUCAGCUCCACACUGUACUCUUUUUCCUUCAUCCAGGUUUUUAUCUCAUUGGGUUUUUCCUGGUAAGGUUUUAACGAGGCAGUGUCGCUCAAAGGUUUAGGGUAUACUAUGAAAAUUUUUAUGGUCGCUUACUGGACAAAAGCUAGUCCUAAAUUUUUCAGGGGGAGAUGUUCAUCAGGGGGAGCGUGGUUUUAAUAAAGACCUCCAUACACUGUACUCUUUUUCCUUCAUCCAGGUUUUUAUCCCACUGGGUUUUUCCUGGUAAGGUUUUAACGAGGCAGUGUCGCUCAAGAUUGACUCACAGAAGCAGUGUCAACUACGAUAUUCAGAAAGGUGAUCAACAACAUGACUUAAAGAUAUUUUUGCCAAGCAUCAGGGGGAGCGCGCUAUCAAUAAAGAUCUUCAAACACUGUACUCUUUUUCCUUCGUCCAGGUUUUUAUCCCACUAGAUUUUUCCUGGCAAGGUUUUAACGAGGCAGUGUCGCACGCGCGUCAAUAUACAUAGAAUUUUAUGUUACACAUGAUUAUGUACUCUUUUUCCCUUUGACCAGUUUUUUUUUUGUCCCACUAGUUUUUACUGGCAAGGUUUUUAACGAGGCAUAUUCCAUAUCAUUUGUGGUCUCCAAGGGGGAGUGUUGUAAAUAAUAAGGUGGAGCCCACCACUUGUUGGAUGGAGCUUUACCUACUCCACCACUUGUUGGAUGGAGCUUUACCUACUCCACCACUUGGUGGAAGGAGCUUUACCUACAAAAGGGUUGAUCCCUCCUUGUAAUGUUCAGACAGAAUACACAGAGAUGAGAUUGAAAACACAGAUAUGAGAUAGAGAAAACAUUCCAUUCUCUCCAUCUCAAUUUCUCUCCAAUUCCUCUUGAUUUAUGACAAUGUCGUCUUAGUAUAUGAGUUUCAUUUAAAAUGAAACGAUAUGUUUGCUCAAACCUUCUUAGGAUAUAAAAAAGACAUGUUUGGUGGAACAGUCACUGAAUUAAAAAAAAUAAAGAAUGAAACGAUGGAUGCUCUCCAUCCCUUCCUUUCAAGUCAUGUCAUCAUGAGCAAUAGUACUCUCUCAUAAUCAUAUCAUUAGGUUUUGUUAUUUUAAAUGCAAUGGUGCCUUUUGUCUGUAGUAAAACCUUUAUUAAUUUUUUUGGAACAUCUUCGUUAUUCAAUAUUGCAUUAGCUUAGUCUAAUAUGAAAACUUAAAGGUAUUUUUUAGAAAGAAAAAAAAAUUCAUGUUAUGAAAGGCUUACGCCUCAAUAUCUCAAGACUCACACCUGAUCUUAAGCCCCCAAAAGAGUAUCACCCUUUAAAAUUUUAGUAGGAACUAGGAGUCUGAGGCUUGUGGAAGGGUACAAAUGAAGGCCAUGUACAUGUAGCUACGAAUUUUGGAUAGUAUUAGUUGGUAAUUUUUUUUAAUUUUUUUUUAAGCUUUUAACCUUUCAAAUUUUGCCCUUUUUUCAAAAAAAUUAUGGGUCCGCCAAUGCACGUACGUACGUAUUUUUUAAUAAUACAUUCGUGUUCUAUACACAUCUCACGUUUUUUAAAAAGCAAACAUACAAUAGUCGUAUUAUACAUGUACGUGCGUAUUUCUAAUGUUUAUUACACGUAUUUUUUACAAAAAUUUUAGUAAGACACAAAAUUCACUUAUUACACAAAUAAUUCUCACAUAUUAUUGAAUAAGGAAAAUUAUAUGUUAUAAAAAUUAUAUUAAAAUAUUAUAUAGUAGCCAAUUAAUAUAUGCUUUGGAUAUGUUGAAACUAGCCGAUUAAUAUAUAUAUAUAAAGCAAAAGACAGAGAAUGGUAAAAUAUUCAAAAUGCUAGAAAUUGCCCUUGGUUAAUGCAAACAUUAAGAAUUGAAAUUAUUAAUUAAAUGAGGAUAAUAUGGUAAAUUUACACUUUUUCAUAUUUUAAAAAAUUAAAAUUAAAAGAAAAAUCAGAUCAUGGAUCAUAUUUUUAUAGAACACAACUACCCAUUAUCUUUUUUAAUUCUAAAAUAAAUUUAAAUUUGUUUUAAAAAAAGCUUCUCGUAAGCGCAGAAGCGCGUGCAGAGAGUCUAGUAUUUAUGAAGUACAAACUAAUGCAAUAGAAGGGUCCUUUUUUCUUAAAUUUUUUAUUUAUUAUGGCUAUACCUUUUAAAUAUAAUGUAUUUAAAUAGUAUAGUAGUUCGGCUAUACUAUUUUUUGACACGUGGGCCUAAUCGCUAGUGGGUUCUCUUUUUUAUAAAGGCUUAAGUGCUACAGUGUCCCCUGAAAUAUUGGUCAAUUCUCACUUUAUCCCCUUAAAGUUAAAGUGACCCACUUUGCCCUCUUGACUGUGUCUCACUUUGUCCCUCACCAUCAAGUCUGUUAAAAAUUUUGUUAAAAAAGCUGAUGUGGCACCAAUGAGGCCCGCUAUUUGGCUAAACUAAGUGUCAUGUGUGAAGAAAAAAAAUUAAAAAUUAAAAAUUGUCUUUUAAAAUUCUUAAUUUAACUAUUAAAAAUAAAAAUAAUUCUUUAAAACAAAAAAAAUCCCCAAUUCCCCUCCCUAACCCCAUUAUCCCUUCCCAGUCGCCAUCACCACAACCAUAACGACUGCUCUUCUCUCGCAGACCCAAGUUCCACCCCUGAAAGUCUGUGCUGAAUUCGUUACCCCACCAACUUCAACCUGUGCCACAUCUCUGCCUCAAUCCAACAUCUUCCACUUUUAGCAAGACAAAACAAAGAUUCAAUUAAUCUUUCUGUGCAUGCCAAGGCCCUAAUCUGUUACACCAAUUUUUGAAACAUGGGCUGUAUAAAACUCAGACCACCCCUACUUCGAGCCGCAACCCAAGCCCCACUCCCACCCCUAGCCCUUAAACCCAGCAGCCCCAACCCUCCGCACAGUCGUCGACAACCCAAAUGAGCCCUGGCCUCUCUUUCUGUCGAACCUCCAGCAGCUACAACCCACCAUCUUUAUCUCGCUGAAUUCGGAAGCCAUCAAAUUUGGUUGCAGACCUUCGAGUACAAAACAACAAAAACAAUGAAUUUUUUUUCUUUUAAUUUGUUGGUUUUUGAAUUUGCAGAGAGAGGGGUGGAGAGAGAGAGAGAGAGAGAGAGAGAGAGAGGGAGAACGAGGGAGAAGAAAUCUGGGAAGGGUGGCUUGGGGAUGAUGGGUUUUUGGUUUUUUUAAAUUUCUUAUAUUUAAAUAUUUAUAUACACCUAAUUUAUUAAGUGAAGCCCUAGAUCCAUAAUUUGGUGGGGGAUGGAUGAGGUCAAAGCCCUAAAUCCAUAAUUUUUGGAAGACAAUUUUUAAUUUUUUUUCUUCACACCUGUCACUUAGUUUAGUCAAAUAGUGGUUCUUAUUGGUCACCCAUCAGCGUUUGCUUGAACUUGGCCCAUACCCACUUUUCCUCAUAAACCAGAUGACAAUUUUUUUUCUUUUGAUAGCACCAUUACGAUUCUGUGAGAUUAUGUAUUUUCCGUCUUCGUCUAUAGCAACAAGUGCUGUCCACAAGUGCUGUCCAUUGUGGUGGAAAAGCAUGACUUGUAGUUCCCAAAAAAACACAAAAAAGAUUUGUGCCCAUGUUAUUUUUACAAAUGAUAAGAAUAUAUUUAUAAGAUACUUUUAUAAUGGUGUCAAUACAUCAACAACAAAUCACAAUUAGGUAUCGAACAUGAGACCUCCUUUAACUAACUGGAGACAAAUACCACCAGAACAAAGGCUAGUUGAUUACACAUGACAAAUAGUUGAAAAUUUAGGUUUUAGAGUAACUACUACUUGAAAUAAGCCUGAACUAAAACUACCUAACACAACACGUGACAACCCAACAUGACAAGCACUUUCUUCUGGCAUGCUUGUUGUCCUAAGCAAUCUUAGUAUUAGUCUUUAAUUCAUGUUUUCUUCCCCACCACAUAUAUAUUUCAGUGUGAGUGGCAAGCUAAUAAGAUUUUUAGGACGGGCAAUUUGCUAGGUCAGAUGAUAUGUCAAUUAGUGGACAUAAUUAUUGAAUCUGAUAUAGUACACAGCUAGACAGGUUUGGUUUUUUGUUUUUGGCAAUUAACUGCCAAAUUCUUAAUGGCCCCAAGAAGCUAUUAGCUAUCAAAUGGGUCAGGAUUUGUUACUUGGAACACUCUCCUCCUUGUUUUGGGCAGCAAUAUUAAUGAUGUGUAUAUAAAUAAUGGCGGACCUAUUAAAGCACAAGGAGGUGUAGCUGUAUUUUCUUUUGUUGGAAAAACCAUUGUAGGUACUUCAAAUUACCCAUUUGUUCAACUAAUGGUGGUGCACUCUAGUUGAAGUAAAUGUCUUUGUCCUUUUAAUUUCAUUUAUUUUUAUAUUACUCCAUUUACUUAAGUUUACAAUGUAAAUAAGGAAUUACCCUCACUUGGAUUCAAAUAAAAAUACUAAAAAAUCAAAUUCCCAUCUAAUCAAAAUAUGAAAAAUCGGUUUUAGUGCAAACUACGAUUUAGGCUAAAAAUAAUGGCUCAUUAAGUCAACAUAUACUUCACAAUAAAAUCUCAUAACAUCAAGUUUUCUUAUUUGAUAUGUGAGAGAAUAAAAGCUGGCAAAAAUUAUCUUGAGAAAAUGAUUAUUCCAAAAAUCUAUUUUUCAUACUUAGUCAAUAUUGUUACAUAAAAUAAUUUUCGUGUAUGAUAUGAAUGCAUGAAGAGAUCUAAGGUCAAUCUAGGUAAAAAGCCUUAAAUAUUCAAUCCAUGAAGAGUUUUUAGCCUUUUAAAAUUGCACAUAUGCUAAAAAAUUUCUGAAUCCUCCGGUGUAUAUAAGCAUCUGGUUGGUUUACAAUGUGAGGAAUUGGGUCCAAUUGUCGCCUAACCACUUAUUUAUUUUUAUUUCUUGUUUUUGGAAAUUCAAGUUUAGCAAAUUAAGAACCAAAAGACAAGCCCAAGAUGGUCAACAAGAACACAACAAACAACCAACAACUUAGACACAACUCUAAGGCUCUAAACAGCAGCAAACCAGCAACAGCAACAACCAGCCAAUAUUUGUUUCCCACUUUUAUCAGACCACAUAAUAAUAUGAACCUAAUCUAAUCCACACUGAACAUAAUUAAAUUCUCAUGUCAUUCUUUCCGUUUUCAUUAAAGACAUAUAUAUUUUUUUUAUACAAGUGAUAUUAUUAUUAGGUGAGGAGGGAAUUGAACCUAAGGCCAGGAGAAUUUUUAAUUAGAGAGAUAAAGGACUUUGAAUUCACACACAAAAUUGCUGAAUUUAAUGUGUGAAAGAAUGCUGAAUGAUUAAGUAUGGGUGUAUGAGUUUUUGUACCAGUGUCCUUUCCCUUAGAAUCUACUCAAGCAGGAUGGCAGAAGAAGAAACCAAAGCUGCUGUGAAGAAUUAAGUAUAGCAAGUUGGCAACCCUUUUGAGACCAAAUAGACAACAUUCCAUCUUACCAGACACCUCAGUUGUUGUCAGAAAAACUUUACCUUCACCAAUAAUGAUUAAAGUGUCAUCUCAAUCCUAUGCCACAUGACAGCAUAAAGAAGGUAGGGUCAGCCACCAGUAACAUUGACACAUGCUCUUGAUGUAAAAGUAUUUGCCUACCCCAAUUCUUUUUCUUUCUUCUUCCUCUUCAACUUUUUUUUAUUAAAGAAAACAAAAAUCACUCAAAUUUCUCACUUACAAUUUGCAAACAUCACUCAAGCAAAUGAUGGCCCUAAUGACCCUUUAGCACAUCCAAUAAAAUUAGAACGAUACAGAGAAGACUAAUAUGGUCCCGCGCUAGGAUGACAAAUAUAAAUCGAGAAAUGAUACUAAUUUUUUAAGAAAAUGAUGGCCCUAAACUUUUUAAAUUCCAAAUAGUGAGUUUAGACUUUUAGAGGCUGAAUUACUUGUCAAUACCAACUUUCAAGUGCUUUUAAAGCUUUUAGGUGCUUGACAUGCACAAAAGGGCAUUGGGUUAGUAUAAAAUUAGAACAUUAAAAUAGGUGGAAUUGGUGCAUGCAAUAAUUAUUUGGGUUGCUGCUAAAAGGGUAAUAUAUAAAUUUGGAAUUUGUUAGGUGAGCUAAUUAUGAUAUCCCAGACAAACUUUUGGGAGCAAUGCCAUUGGUUCCCUUUGGGAAACACUAUCAUCAAAUUAAGCAAGUGGCAGGUUUUAUUUUAUCUUUGGGAUUUUGUUAAUUAUAAUUAAUUUACAUGAGUUGUUGUUGGUCCAGAGGUCAAUCAAACUUAGCACUUUACAUGCAUCAUGGCUUAAUCUAUCAUUAGGCUCAUGCUAAACCAAAUUAGGAUUUCGAGAUUUUUGGAACUACCACCCCUCCUACUACUCUUUUUUCCUCUCUGUCUUCAGCUUUGCAGAUAAAAUUAGAGAUGCCAUUCGCCAUAAAAAGCCGAUAUGCAUAUGCCGUUAUGCCGAAUUGUCUGUGCAAAAGAAAGAUACUAAUUUGAAUUUACUUCACAAUACAAAUUUAUACCAUAAUCGUUUAAUUUUUAGGUCUGUAUACAAAGAUCAUCCAUCUUAAAUUUCAUGGAAAUCAAAGAUCGUUUAGCCUUAUGUCGUGAACAUUUCUUUGUUUAUUAAAAAUAGUGUGUCUAUCUAUUUAUUUAGUCACGGUUAGAUAAUUAAACUAUUUUAAUUAUAAUAUUUCCUAAUAUAGGAAAAUAUUCUAUUAUCAUGUUGUCUAAUGUCUAUCCAAAACUAUUACAAUCUUGAUUUUUAUUUGAAUGUAUAUAUCCAAACCUUUUUAAGUAUAUACGAUAACUAUUCUUCUUCUUUUUCUUUCUUUCUUUUUUUGUAUCGUGUAAGUCUUGAGGCAAUAAAAAGGAAACAUGCAUGAAAUUUUAAAGUAAUGAACGUGGACGUGGUGGCGUUUGUUGUGUUUCCUCCAGCAAGAUAAUGGCUAUUUGGCCUCGCUUGAAGAGAGAGAGAGAGAGACACAGUCAUGAGUCUUCUAUAAUCAAUUGGGUUUUGCAAAAACCACUUAUCUGCAUGAUUGUGGGAAGCAUGAUCUAUGGCUGUCAACUUUAUACGAUUAGAUUUCCAUUAUUGUAAAUUUAACAUACAUGUUAUUGUCACUCGAAAAAAUUAUCAUAUCCUUAUUCCUUAUAAAUAAAACAAAGGAGAUAAUUAUAUAUGGGAGUGCAUAUACUGACAUUUCUAGAGUGUCAAUAAUAUCGGCAUUAUAUAUACAUGAAUAAAAUAAAUACACUAGCACAAUACAAUUGAAAAAAAAAAAAAAAGCAUUCCAAUUUUAUGAUAGUUUUUUUUUAUAUAUUAUUAUAAACAAUUUUGUGAUAGUUUAGUAUUGAAUUACUAUAUCAUUUAUGAGUAUCAAUAGUUUUUCUAUUAACCAAUGAUACUAACAUAGAAAGAUACAGAUAUAUAAACAUGCGGAUAAAAAUGUAUACAUCAAAUGUCUUAAUUUUUUGUUAAGAAAACUCUCGGACAAAUGUAUACAUCAAACACCUGAGUUUUCAGGAUUCGUUUCAAAUGUUUUUGUUUUUGCCGAGGUUAUUACAUCAUUAUCAACUAACUCUUAUAUAAUAAUUUAUUUUUAAAAAAAUAUUGAAAAAUAUCUUAAAUUCGACUCUUCACUCUUCAUAAUUGGUUGAAAAAGGAAUUAGAACGUUAGAUUAGUUGUAGCUCUUCAACCUAAUACCAGGACUCUCACAAUUCAAACUAAUAGCAAGACUCUGAAUUCAACCAAAUGGGGUCACAAAUUAGAUUGAUGUAGCAACAACAUGAUAUAGGAAAAGGAUUUGGCAAUUUAAAAAGGGAAAGCAACGAGCAUUAAGUUCCAAAAUCCCCGAGGGGUAAGGUGGAGUUUGUUUGUUGGGCCACAGACAGUUGUUGCAACUUGUUUAUUUAUUGACUUUUAUCAGUUUCCUUUUGCCGCUUUCUGCCCUAAUUAGCGCGGGCCACGUUACCGUUAUGAUUAGUUCUCUUCUCCUCCAUUUAAAUUAUGAAUUCAUUCAUGUCUGACUUGCGACCUUCAAAUUACUCAUCUACCCUUUUGUGGAUAAUCACUCAUCUUAUUCUUUCAUGUGAAAACUUUAAAUACAGAAUCUAAAUUCACUAGAUAGCAGUCCUUUUGGAUUUUUAUGAUGGUUGGUUAGCUUUUUUCUUUUUCCAAAUAACCAUAAAAGCUAAGGGACACAAACGAUAUUUGGACGAAAAGGAAAUUAAACUUAGAAUUCAAAUACUUGGAUAAAUACUUUUAACCACUUAAGUUACAAACUUCUUUACGAUAAAUAUUGAACGAUAAAAGAAAAUUAAAUUAUUAGCGGUGAUGUGAUCUAUGAAUUAAGAUGGAAUUUUCUGCUUGUUUUGGUAUUGCUUAAAUUAAAAGAUUUCUUCCGUUACUUUAGCUAAAAAAAGUUAGCUCUGAUUUUGAUAUGCGAACCAAAAUAUGAACCUUUUGCUUGUUUCGGUAUUUAUUCAAGUGAGAGAUUACUUCAGUUACUUUGGAAGUGAUUUACAAACAAUGGAUUAAGUAACAAAUAUAUUUUCAUCUUGUCCAUUGUCUAAUAAUGCAAAGAGUACUUUUUUUUUUGUUUGAAAAUGGAAAGAGUAAUUUGAUGGCUCAUACUUAAAGGAAAGGAUAUGCAUUAUGCUUAUUAUUGUUGGGGGACCAGAAUGAAGUUUUGCUAUCUGGUCCACCAUUAUUUUAGUUUAUAUAUAUCUAUAUUUGAAUUAUUUGCUAAAGUUUGUGAAGUGUGGUCCAAUUAGAUUUGAAAAUGUCCUGAUUUGAGUAUGUUGACUGUCUAUUUUACCCAAAAAGAAAUUGAGAGUACAUUUGUUUAUUAAAAAACAAAAUGGCAGUGUAUUAAUAUUAUACUUAGGGUUUUGAGUCAUUCACCUAAUACAUGUGCAAAAUAGUAUUUCACCUACUACUUUAUCCUAAUAUGUCUUUCACCUCAAAUUAUAAUUAGCUCCCUAAAGAAUUGUAUAAAAAGGUUAAUCCAAAUUUCCAAAAUCCCGAAGAGCAUCUUCAACUAAUGUGUCAAAAGUGCCACAUAAACAUUUAACGGCUAGAAAUAACAUAUUACAUCACUCCAACCGAUGUGUGUCAAAGCUGAUGUAGAAUAAAGGCUGGAGGUUGAGAUGUUAUUUUUGACAUCCCAAAAACAAGAUGUCAAAUGAAUAUUUUAUUAUUUAUUAUUUUCUUUUUUUUAAUUAAAAAUAAAUCAACACUAAAAUAAAAUAAAAUAGUAAUUUAAUUUGACAUAUCAGGUGGAGUCUAAAGUUGUGUAAGAUGUCAAAUUGCCAUAUCUGCCAUCAAAUUUAAAUUUGAUGUUUGGUAUUUGACAUCUCCCUUGGAGAUGCUCUAAUAACUCCAGAAGGCUAAAAGGUUACAUAAGGAAUUUAACCUAAGAAUCCAAAUAAAUGCUUCGAUUUACAAUGAGCUUACUUAUAACAUACCGUUUUAAGAAAUGUCUAUCUCCUUAGUAACCGAUGUAUUUUUUUUUGAUGAAGUUACUCAGUUUCUCAAAAAGAGAAAAAAAAUCUAGAAAUUUCUAAUUUUACCUAAAUACCUAUUAAUUUUUUCCUUAAAACUUCUAAAUAAAUAUAAAAAAUAGAAAAAAAGGGGUCAACCAUUGUAAGGAAGUAUUUAUAAAAUAUAGAAAUUUAAAUGAAUAAAUGGUAAUAUUGACAUUUUUAAGUUUGUUGGGGGUGAUAAGCAAAUCGUGCGUGAAUAGAAAAUUGACCACUCCCAAUCCAAAGAAUUUAGGUAACGAAAAAGAACUGACCAAUCCAAAUAUAGGAUGCUAUUAUUGUAAUUUCCUGAAAAUCCCCGUCCAAAUUCAAAACCCCGUUAAUUAACAACUAUACUGUAGCGCGUCACACCUAAAAGGUUAGUAGGCCCCAUUUUUUUCAAAAGUUGAAUUUGUUUAAUGGGUGAUGCUAGGGAGACAAACUUUAGAUACCAACUUGUGUACCAACUCUCUAAGGAGUCUGGCACCAAUAGUUGGGGAAGGGUCAAGAAAAGAAAGAGAGUAAGUAUAAGUGAAUGAAGAAAACCCCACUAGGAAACAAGGAAGAUAGGAUGGGCGUAAUAAAGGGGGAGAGAAAAGUAGAAAAGAAAAAACAUAGAAGACGAGUAAGCAUGUCAGGGAGGGCUAGGGCGGGUGUGAGGACUGUGGGCGUGGGAGGGCGAGGGGGAGUGAGUGGUGAGCCGACUCGCUAUAAACACUACUCUCUACUCCCCCCUCUCUGCUGCCUAGCNNNNNNNNNNNNNNNNNNNNNNNNNNNNNNNNNNNNNNNNNNNNNNNNNNNNNNNNNNNNNNNNNNNNNNNNNNNNNNNNNNNNNNNNNNNNNNNNNNNNUUGUAUUGGUGGGCUCCACCUCUAUUAGAGAGUUGGUACACAAGUUCGGUAUCUAAAGUUGGUCUCCCUAGCAUUUUCCUUGUUUAAUAUAUAUAUUUUUUUAUCCUUAUCGGAUCCAAACGGCUCUCUGAAAACAGAAAAAAAUUUAAAUUCAAGCAAGAGAAAAAAGAAAAAAAAGAAAAGAAAACAAUGCUUUAAAGCAACAACAUGUCAACAAAUAUAUUUAUCAUAAAUUAUAUUCAUAUAUAUUUUUUAUUAUUUAUCUAUUUAUAUAUUAUUUUAUAUAUCUUCCCACGCUCCAACUCCAGGUGGUUCCAAUUUGUGCUUUUGAAAACAGAGAAAUGAAAAAACAAACUCAACGGAAACAGCCUUCUUCUGUUUCAGAAAACAUACAAGAACAGCUUUUCGUUUCCUUCUUUAUUUUCCAAUUCAUCGUCUUCCUCUCUCUCCAAGGUUUGUUUCCUCAACAAACGUAACCUCCAAUUUAUACUCCUCCUCCUCCUUCUUCUCCAUCAUAUCUCUACCAAAACCUCGUAACUCACGCUUUCAGUAUCAGAAUCCCCAAUCGUAAACCCCUCGAUUUAGCAAACCCAGUUUUGGGAGUUGGUUUUUUUUUCCUUCUCGAUUUGCUUUUCCCCGUAACAAGAAAAAGAGAGCACAUUUCAUAUCCUUAGCUCGCCGUCCGUACGAAUCCCAAUUCAGCUUUCGCUUUCGUUUGUUUUUGGGUUUUGACCUUUCAGUUUCAUGAUAGAUUUUGAAGAAUUGGACCGGGAUUUUCGGACACUUCUAUCUUAGGGUUUUUGGGUUCUUUGUCUUUUGUUUUUCGCAAUGCAAUGCUGGUUUUGAAUUGGCUCGGAGUCCCAGUCUGAGAGGUUGAAUUGAGAAUUUGAGGUGUGAAUUUCGGUGAAUUUGGGGGAGAGGGUGGGUCUGCAUAGACUGAAUCCCUAGCUUUUUGUUGUGAAAAUGAUGGUAUCGGCGUCUCCGUCGCUGAUAGCGAGGAGCUCGUUAGAGGAAAUGUUGGAUUCGCUUCGGCGAAGAGAUGAGGGCGAGAAGCCGAAGGAAUUGCCCCCGGCAUUGCCAGCUCGGCCCACUUCCAAGGCUCGGCUGCCGUCAGCGCGCCGGUCUUUGCCCAACAACUUCAAGGUCGAAGACGCAGAGGGGUCGCCAGAGUGUUUGUCUAGUCUGAACAAGAGGAAAGAGAGAGAUUCAGGGUUCAAGGCAGGUCAUUUUGGUGUCAAGAGGAUGGAUAAAGAUCAGAAUGUUGAGUCUCCGUACGAUGGAGCACCGGAGGAGUGUCAAAUUCGGCCAGAGAAGAUUGGAAAGUCGGAUUGGGAUGACAACAUUGGUUAUUUCAUCAAUAAGGUAAUUUUGGAGGGUGACAGUACAUUCACUGAUCUAGUUUUGUUUUUAUGUUUCUUUACUCUUAGAUAUUACCUUUGUGUCUUGACUGAACUUUCCAGUGUUAGAUAUGUUUCAUUACUCUUAGAUAUGUUUUGGGUCUUGAAGCUAUUUAGUUUUGUCUUAUUUGAUUGCGAUGAUUCACGAGAAUUUGAAUUUUAGUUAUGAUGAACAUCUAUACUGUGAUAUCGGAGGUCUAAGGUUCCCGACCAACUGUAUGAUCCAUUUGACGCGUUAAAUCUGCAUUCAAUUUAUUCGUCCCUAAGAAAAUAUAAUUUUUGUAUGAUAUGAUCUGUGGAAGUUUUGUAAGUUUGUUCUUUAAACUUAGGAAUUUUAUUUGCGACACGUGAAUUUAUGUUGCAUGUAUUUUGUUUCAGAAACUUCAUGUUUGGUGUCGGCUACGCAGUGGGCUGUGGGAGUUAGGAACAAUUCAGUCAACUUCAGGGGAUGAGGCAAUUGUUUCACUUUCUGAUGGAAAUGUAAGUUCAUCAGUUUUUGGCCUCACCCCAAAUCCGUAUUGACUUUUAUAAGCUUCUUGUAAAACUGUUGGCACUUUUUUAUUUUUUAUUUUACAACUGUUGUGUAUGCCCUUGUUCUGUUACUGUAGGUAAUCAAGGUGUGCAGAGUUGAGCUCUUACCUGCAAACCCAGAUGUUCUGGAAGGCGUUGAUGAUCUUAUGCAGCUUAGUUAUUUGAAUGAGCCUUCUGUUCUUUACAAUCUUCAAAGUAGAUAUUCUCAGGACGUGAUUUAUGUAAGUAUCACAUUUUCUUGUUGCUUGUGCUUUCCAGUCAGAUUUAUGUCUCUCCUUUUACAGUUCUUGUGUUUUCUUUCUGUAGAGCAAAGCAGGGCCAGUUUUGAUUGCAAUCAAUCCUUUCAAAGAUGUCCAAAUUUAUGGAGAUGAUUUUGUCACAGCUUACAGGCAGAAACUAGCAGACAAACCUCAUGUUUAUGCCAUAGCAGAUAGUGCUUAUAAUGAGAUGAUAAGAGGUGUGCAUGACAAAUUUUAUUUAUAUAUGUUCCAUUGUGUUGAAAAUUUCCUUUUCUGGUGGCAUUGUUUAACGUGUGUCUGUAACCGGUGUUUACCCUUUUCCUGGCUGUAAUAUUUUGCAGAUGAUGUAAAUCAGUCCAUAAUCAUAAGGUUAGAGUCUUUUCAGUUCUAGUUUUUCUUUUAAUAGAAGCUUGUUUGUGGUUAUGGUUUGUGUACAGUGUUAUCCUGUAUGAGAUCAUAAAGAUCAUUAUUAUAGUUCGAUUAAAAUCACAAUGUAGUCUUAAGUAAAGAGUCAUUAAAUUUUCUCUUACAGUGGGGAAAGUGGAGCUGGGAAAACUGAGACAGCAAAAAUUGCAAUGCAAUACUUGGCUGCUCUUGGUGGUGGAAGUUGUGGCAUAGAGCGUGCAAUCCUUCAGACUAGCUGUAUACUGGAGGCGUUUGGAAAUGCAAAAACAUCCAGAAAUGACAAUGCUAGCCGAUUUGUGAGUUCCUUUCUUUCUUUCGUGUUUCCAGGCAGUGGUCCUACGUUUUUCUUGUUAUUGAACUUUAUUGUUUGGAGUUAGUCAUUUAUUUUCUCAAUGGUAGCUGGUCUCUUUUCUCCCAUUUCAUAAAUGAGCUCUGAAGGAUAUGCAGUUUCGGUAACAUUAUUUCUAAUUUGCUGCAGGGGAAGUUGAUUGAAAUUCAUUUUAGCACACUGGGAAAAAUAUGUGGUGCCGAAAUCGAAACAUGUAAGCUGUUUAAAUUGAAUAAAUUGCUGUUUCCGUAUACUAUUACGUGACUAUAAAUUCAAUCAUAGUAACUGACUUGUUUUUACCAACGCAUGUACAUGUCAUCACCAAUGCGCCUUUAAUGAUUGUGAACAGUUUUUUUGGAUAAGGUAAUUAGUUGCUCCAUAUGAACUUAAGUCAUCUCAAUGUGCCUUAUCUGAAAUUAUAAUGUCUCCUUUGAGCAGUCAAGAGUCGCUCGAUUGGAAGAUGGUGAGAGGUCGUACCAUAUCUUUUAUCAACUCUGUGCUGGCGCUCCAUCAAUGCUUAAAGGUAGGGAAGUUAUUUUCUAAUCAUCAAUUCUUGUUGUGUUUUUCACCAUAUGGGUGCGUUGUGGCAAAAUAGCAGACCUCAGCCAAACCUCUGAACCUUUUUCUAAAUUCAUGUGCUUUUCAUUGAAUCCUUAGACUUCUUGUGAUUAGGAAAUUGUCACAUCAUAAGUUUGGGAGUCUAUAUUGCUGGUAAUUUUGUUGCCUUAGCAUAAGUACAUGAAGUGAGAUCAAGUGAAGAGUAGAUCUUAGGUUCAAUUCUUUUUAUAAGAAAGAAACGAAAAAAAAAAAAAAAAAAAAAAAAAAACCCCUUUCUGUGUGGUUGUUGGCAUGUAACCUAAUGUUUUGGACCCACUAGAAUCACUAAUUUUCCUCAUCAAAUAUUACAGGAAGUUAGACUACAGAAGUUAUACGUAAUUAGACAAAUUAGCUAGACCUGAACCAAUAGACGUUAUUUCAUUUUUGGGACAAGUCAGUAUGUCCCCUAGGGUGAAAGUUUUAUGUGAUUUGACAAAUUAGCUAGACCUGAACCAGUAGAGCUUACUUUUGGUAUAAGUAAAUUUGUCCCCUCGCCCUCGGGCAAUUGAGCCACGUAUUAGAGGUAUUGAGUUGACUUGUUCCAGUCUUCUUGAUUGUUUUUUAGAACUUGGUUUAUAUAGUAGUUUAGCAGUGAUCAGUGAUUGAUAAUGGCCUUCGCUUAUGUUCCAAAAGCUGCCAUGGAAACCUUUCAAAAGGGGUCAUAUACUAUACAAGUUUUAUGACAACCAUUUCCAUUUUUGUUUUCUAAUAAAUUAGAACCUUCAACAGUAUUCUGUCUAUUCUACUGUGAACUUUGUCUAUACAUGUCAGUUUGAUUCACAUUUUCUGGGAAUCAUUCUAUGUUUUUGGUUGCAGAGAAGCUAAAACUUAAAAGGGCUAGUGAGUACAAGUAUCUUAAUCAGAGUAAUUGCUUGGCAAUUGAUGGUGUAGAUGAUGCAGAGAAGUUUCGUAUGCUCAUGGUAACUAAAGUGAUAGUUGUUACUAUUACCAUUUAUUCAGUCAAAGUACCUUAUCACUUUUGCCCUUAUUUUAUUGUUUUUGCAUUUUCCCAGGAAGCACUAGACAUUGUUCGAGUUUCUAAGAAAGAUCAAGAACAUGUUUUUUCAAUGCUGGCUGCAGUAUUAUGGCUGGGAAACAUAUCAUUUCAAGCAACUGAGAAUGAAAAUCAUGUGGAAGUGUUGGCUGAUGAAGGUAAGAUAUAUGUGAUUCCCUUGGUGAUCUUUCCAUAGGUAUUUUGCACCUGAUGCUGGUUCUAAGGCAGUUGCAUUGCCAGCCUUGAAUUUUUGGUGAAAGUUGUAACAACCAAGGUUUUUUACUUUGGUAUUAAACUGGAUCACUAUAAUGACAUUUUGAGGUCUAUUACUGCAUAAUGAUAGUGUCAAAUAGUGCUAGAAUGUUGGGGACAUAAAUGUGGAAGUAAUAGGUUUGAUGUGUCAAUGGAAGUCUUAAGCCACGGGGCUUUGCGUUAAUGGUUGAUUUGAUGGUAGCUUCUUUCAGUUAAUCUAAAUGUGGUUAUCCAAACUACAGUUUACAGAUAAUGGGAUUUGGAAGCACUGCAUUUUAACUUCUUUAUUUAAACAGACCUUCAAAUUUGCGUCUUUCCCAUUGUUGUCAGAAGCUUUGUUGUUAAGAUCCAUUUGUCGUUUCUUGAAAUAACUAUCUUCUGUCUUAGUGUGUGUUUGUUCUGUGAAGUCAAACAUAUAUUAUUUUCAAACUUACACUUGAGGAUGUGAAUAGUUGUCUACAUAUAAGUAACUUCUCUUCAUAUUUUCCUUUGGCAGCUUUAACCAAUGCUGCCAUGCUGAUGGGUUGUAGUUCCCAGGAUCUGAUACUAGCUUUAUCCAUCCAUGAAAUCCAUGGUGCCAAUGCUAGUAUUGACAAAAGAUUGACAUUGCAACAGGUUUGUUAAGUUGUGCAACAAUUUAUCUCUUCAUCCUCGAGUCCUGGCUGACAUCUUUUAAAUGCACUUUUUUAACGUAAGUUGAAGGUUUUUUUUCGCCUCUCUAUUUAUUCAGGCAAUUGAUGCAAGGGAUGCAUGGGCAAAAUUUAUCUAUGCGAGUUUGUUUGACUGGCUUGUAGAACAAAUUAACAAGUCACUUGCAGUGGGAAAAUGCCGUUCUGGGAGAUCCAUCAGUAUACUUGAUAUUUACGGGUUUGAGUCAUUUCAGGUAUAGACAUUUAUUUCAUUUUUGUUGAUAUUUUUUAUAAGAUCUGUAUAUUCAGUAAUGAUCAUAAUGCCUUUUUUAUUUUUUUAUUUUUUUAUUUUUUUAUUUUUAUUUUUAUUUUUAUUUUCAGAAGAACAGCUUUGAACAAAUGUGCAUUAAUUAUGCAAAUGAGAGGCUGCAACAACAUUUCAACCGGCAUUUAUUUAAGCUUGAGCAGGAGGUGAGCAUCUCAAAUGUAAUGUAGCUUUAGGAUCGCUUGGUGUCAAAGCAGCUUAUAAAGAAUCUUCAUUAAAAUGAUAUUGUCAAAUUAGAUGUUAUGAUUAAAUGCAUGAAUAGUAAUGUGACUGUUUAUUCCUUCUAUUGCAGGAGUAUGAACUGGAUGGGAUUGAUUGGACUAAAGUGGAUUUUGAAGACAACCAAGAGUGCUUGAAUCUCUUUGAGAAGGUAUUUCAUUGAUUAAAGCCUUCUACAUCAUUGACUUGCUAAUUUUCAAUCAGGAGUUAAUUAGAUUCUUCUCCACUGUAGUACACUUCUACUUGUAAAAUUUGUGACAAUUAGAGUAUGGGUGUUCUUUACAAAUUUAGUUUACCUUAAUUUAAAUGCUUUACUAUAUCAUGGAAGAAUUUUACAUUGCAUGAUAGCUAUAAAAGUAAUUUGUCUGAGUUUGGUGCUAUUAAUCUUCUCUUCUCUCUUUAUUUGUUUCUCAUCAAAUUACCAAAGUAUUUGCCUUUAUAGUUAAUGCCACUCUUUUCUGUGUUGUGUGCAGAGACCUUUAGGGCUACUAUCUUUGUUGGACGUGGAGUCAAACUUCUCCAAGGCAAAUGAUUUGACUCUUGCUGAUAAAUUUAAGCAACACUUGAAUGCUAAUUCUUGCUUUAAAGCAGAAAGAGGCAGAGCUUUCAGUAUUCGUCAUCAUGCUGGAGAGGUUAGUUUUUGCUUGAGCAUGUUCACAAACUUUGGUUUUAUGAUGACUUAACUUUUACUAUUAGAUACAUACAAGCCAACUUAAUGAAUUAUUCUACUCAUUUUGGUAUUGUCACGUUUGGCCUUAGAGCUUUGGAAAAAAAACCGCCUGCAUUUCUCUGCUGCACCGCCUCAAGAUGUGCCUCAGGGGCACCUUGACAACGUUUUUGAAUUCAUUAGUGCAGAUAUCUCUUUUCGUCAUCCCACAGUGGGGUAGAAAUAGCAUAGCAUGCUAGCUACAGAAAAACUCAAUGUUUUCAGAGGCCUAUAUAGAUUUAUGCAAGUUUGAGGACCUUUACAUUUAUACAAAUGGUUAUGAUUUUCAUUAUGUGUUAUAAUUUCAUUAACAUUUUGAGUUUUUUUUAAGGUUCUAUAUGACACAAGUGGCUUCCUCGAAAAGAACAGAGAUCCUUUGCCCUCAGUUUCCAUCCAACUCCUAUCAUCAUGCAGUUGCCAACUUCUGCAGUUGUUUGCCUCCAAAGUGGUUAAGCAGUUCCAGAAACCUGAAAAUACUUCGUGCCAGAUAAAUUCAUUGGAUCCUCCAAAACCAAGCACUGGUAUUAAGUUCAAGGUACACAUGCUUGCACAACUUUGAGCGAGUAGCUCUUGUAUGUCUAGAUCAGAUGCCAAAAUUAUGAAUUUAAUCUGAUUAAGAUGUGACUUACGAGAUGAUUUUGGAUGAUCUUAUUUGUUCACCUUUAAUUUUCAAAUUUUCUUUGAAAUUGGUAUUCUGAGGCAUAGCCGAUUGAGUUUUUCAACAUUUAAAAAUUAUCAUGCAUUCUUGUAGGGUCAAUUAUUUAAACUAAUGCACCAUUUGGAGGGCAGCAGACCUCACUUCAUUUGCUGCAUAAAGCCAAACAGUAAGCAGCUUCCCGGUGUGUACGAAGUAGACCUUGUUUUACAACAACUUAGGUGUUGUGGAAUUUUGGAGGUUGUCAGGAUAACACGAUCUGGAUAUCCUACUAGAAUGACACAUCAAGAGUUUGCAGGAAGGUUUGUAUAAAGUGAACCCUAGUUUAUGCUUUUUAGUUGUUUUUGGUUUUCACAACUGCUGAGUUAUCUUUUCUUGUGUUUGUUCAUUUUAGGUACGGUUUUCUACUUUUGGGGGCUGGCAUACCUCAGGAUCCAUUAAGUCUAUCGAUUGCUGUUCUAAAACAAUUCAAUGUCCUUCCUGAAAUGUAUCAAAUUGGCUAUACAAAAGUGUAUCUUCGAACAGGGCAGGUAAGCUCCUGUAAUAGUUUUCAGUUUUUCUCUUCAUUUCUAUCCACUUAGCUCAUGAUAAGUUUUCUCUUGUUGACUUCUGUUUUAUGAAAGCCUGUAUUUGCCCCCUUUUUUUCCAAAGAGUUUUAUAGCAGUGACUUAAUACAUCUCUUUCUGGUUUAUUUAAGUUUAUUUCGUCUGAUGGUUUUCCUAAUGCUGUUGAGUCUGGUUGUUCACAGAUUGCUUUAUUGGAGGAUAAGAGAAAGCAAGUUCUGCAAGGAAUAAUUGGUAUUCAAAAAUACUUCCGUGGUAAUCAGGCUCGUGACCAUUUCCAUCAACUUAAGGAAGGUUAGGAUACUGAACUGGUUUUAUUACGGAAUAAACCACAACGUUACAAUCAAGUAAUGCUUACUAUUUUUCUAGUUCCAUUUGGUUAGGAUGCUUAACUGGUUUAUGAUCAUACAUUGUAGCACUGUCGAGUACAAUUGGAUAUUUCUUUUGAAAAACAAAACCCUGGUUGAAUACUAAUUUUGCACUCUCUUCAGGAACCUUGCAUUGUCUUUUAUGUUGUGAAGUCUUACACACUUGAAUUUGUGGCUUAAACUCCAUUUUUUGUCUGAUUAAUUUAUAUUGAGGAACAAUCUCUAUUUAGUACAUUUUAGUUUUAAUGGAAGUUACUUUUAAGAUGCAGAUGUUCUUGGUGAAAAAGCUGGAAGGAGAGCUGGUGCUCGUGAAACUCUUGAUGACCCGCAAAACUCGAAGAAGUUACAUCCUGAGAAUGCGAAAUUUAAACAAAAGGCUGGCAGGAAGAAUUCAGAAGUGAAGGUACUCCCGAUAAAGUAAUUACUUUCUACUUGCUAGAGUAUACUGCUCUUCUGUUUGCCUCAUGACUAAUCUCUGUUCCAUGAGCCUAUCCAAUGGAGCUCUUUAAUUCCUAUUUUCAAUGGUUUUCUUGUAUUGAGACUUGGUUUCCUUUUCUUCUUUUCUUUCUGUUUUUUUCCUUCAACCACUUUUUUUGCUUCAAAACUUCUUGCUUGGGUGUUUGAAAUUGUAGAUUUUCCUUAUUUGGAGAUCUUCAAGAGUUCCAUGGGAUAGGCUUAACAAUCCAUGAGGCUAGCCAAUGGAACUCUUCAAUCUAGUUCUAUUCUCAAUGGUUCUUUUGUUGUGCCCUUGGUUUCAUUCUCUCCUUUUUUUUUUUUUUUUUUUUUUUUCAAAGGGUUUUUUGUUUCAACCACUUACUUCACUUUGAAAUUUUUCGCUGGGGUAUUUGGAAUUGGAGGGUUCUCCUUAUGUGAAGAUCUUAACCCCUUUUAACUUGGUUGUCUAAAAAUCUAUUCAAUACUUGUACAGAACCGCAUAAGAAAUCUAACUUUAUCUGAUAUAACCAAGAGCACGUCCAUUAAAUUUUAAUAUUGAGUUUUCAAAGGCACUGGAUUAGCUUUAUGCUCGAGUUUUCAAUUUGAAAUAAAAUGUCUUUUCCAUUAAGGUUUUAACAGUAUUUUUAGACAAACUUUAUUGCCCUUGCUUAUGAAAUUUUAAGGUGGCACGCUGUAUAGAAGACUGUCACCAAGGCUCCAAAAUUUAUGUAUUGCAAAUAUCUUCUUUCUGUAAAGAAUAUUCUUUUGAGACAGAGAUAUAUUUACACUUAAAACUGAGAAAUUGCAAUAACUACUCAUGCAUCCUGGUAAAUAUUACCAUUUGAAGGUUUUAUUAUUGAAAUUACUCUGUUAUAUGUCUGAGGUUUCAUCUCAGAAUAACUGAAAGUGGAAUAUCUUUGCCGAGCAGGAUUUGCCAUCAGAUUUGGCAGAGCUUCAAAGGCGGGUGCUUCAGGCUGAAGCGACUCUGAAGCGAAAGGAAGAGGAAAAUGCUGAAUUGCAGGGGCAACUACGACAAUUUGAGACAAGAUGGUCAGAAUAUGAUGCAAAGAUGAAAUCUAUGCAGGACGUGUGGCAAAAGCAGAUGGCGUCUUUACAAGUAAGUUUGCUUGUGUAUGCUUAAUCUCAGUUUCAAAAAGUAUGCACAAAACAUUGUGUGCUUAUUGAACUAAAAGGGAAGUGAAAUGAGUCGAACAGGCAGCCAAGGUUUAUGUCUACUUAGAAGAAACAAAUUGUUGGCUUAUGUGCUUGAGUUGAGCGUGAUGGCAUCGUUGAGUCCACACCUUAGUCCUAAGCUUUUGGGAUCAUUUACUUCACCACAGCCAAUGUGCAUGCACACUCAUACACAUGCAUCUUCACAUGCAAAGAGGCACACUUGCAUAUAAUUCACCCUAUAUGUAUAUUCUGUCUCCUACGAGAAAAAUGGACGGUUCCUUUUAUUGAAUAUAAAAUUCAAAUGACGAUUAUGUGUAAAGUAAGGUUAUUGAGAAUUAGUUAUCAAGUAUGUGGUCAGCUCUCCAACAAAUCCAACAAUAAAGUAAAAUAAGAUAGGAACACCAGCAGAUAUGUGAAAGGUUAUUGAGACUGAGAGGCAUACCUGUGAUGAUUUUAUGCAGACGAGUCUUGCUGCAGCCCGAAAGAGUCUUGCUUCUGACAAUACUGCUGGUCAACCUGGAAGACUAGUUGUUCCUUCAUCACCUCGCUGUGAUUCUGAAGAAGCCUUGUCCAUGGGAUCUCGAACUCCUGGUGCAAGCACACCCAAUAAUGGAGGAGGGCGUGAGACUAACGGUACUUUGCAUGCAGUCAGCAAUCUGAUGAAGGAAUUUGAGCAGCGGAAACAGCAUUUUGAUGAUGAUGCGAAAGCUCUAGUGGAGGUAAAACCUGGGCAUUCAGGUGUAAAUAUGAAUCCUGAGGAAGAGCUACGAAAACUUAAACACCGAUUUGAGUCAUGGAAGAAAGAGUACAAGGCAAGAUUACGGGAGACAAAGACAAAGGUUCAUAAACUUUGGCAUUCAGAAGAGGAAAAAAGGCGUAGUAGGAAAUGGUGGGGAAAGAUAAGCUCAAGAGCAUCCUAGUAUUGGUGAAUCGUAGCAUCUUAGAGGAUGAUUGGAGAAAGUAAUUUUCUCAGUACAUGGCCUCUCCUUCUUCAGCAGCUGCUCCCUUGUUUAUGCAUAUGGCAUCACAUAUUGAUGAAUCCUUGGUGUGGGGCAGUUUAGGGAGAGAAAUUUGUAUAUCUACCAAAAUUUUGUGACUUGGUGGAAAUAUGGAUAAUUAUGUGAAUAGCCAGUUAGGGAAAUUGUUAUGCGUUUUCAGCCGCUAUUUCUUCUUUAAAUAGCUUAGCUAAUUUGUGUAUAAUCUGUCGGUACUGGUUUAACGCCCUACCAUGUAGAUCUUGUUACUGAAGAUAUGGAAGAGAAAAGUUCAUAUUGCCUCGUGUAUGAAGUGGUUAAUACUUUAUUUUCCCAUACACAAACACACACACACACAUAUAUAUAUAUAUAUAUAUAUUAUUUUCCUUCUACAAACAGAUUACAUAUAGAAUUGUAGAAUUAUUCUGUAAUAAGGUCCUUUUUAGCGUGGUGAGACGGCUACAGUUUAUUUUCUGUUUUUUAAAAUUUGAUUUGAUUUUUUAUUUUUUUUUUGCCAGAGUCACUUUUGGUCUGUGCAAUUUGUCAGAUUUUCCACUUUAAUCAUUUAGUUUCAGUUAUGGUGAUUUGACUCAUAUAAUUUGAUAUCCAUUGCAAUUCAUAUUUUGUGAUGAAGUAAAAGCAUGCGUCUCUAAUGCGAAGGGGUUAUUUCGGUCAGAAUGGAUGGAAAUUUACCAAUGCAGUUGCCUGGUGAAUCAUAGUUGCGUGUAAUGAGGAUUACCGUCAAAUAGAUUAGUAAACCUAAUGUAGGUGCUCAUCUUUCACAAUUAGCUUUUAUAGUUUAGCCUUCCCAAUUUGAUGUUCAGCAUGCCUCAAGUUAAAGUCAUUUGGGAAUCUAGAGAUAAGAAAAAAGGGGCAAUGCCGAUGACACCGGAGUAGGGAAGUGAUUUUUCCACAGCUCGGCCUAUAUAUCAUACUUAGUCGAAUGGGCAGUCAGAGGUUCUCAGUCGAACAUUGGAGCACUAGUUGCAUUCUUAUGUUGGAGAUAAUUACAUGAAUUUAUGAUUAAGUUUGCUCUAUGUUUCCAUAAAGCAAAUGUCACAAGAUUUCAGGUCACGUUCUCAAGCCGAUACGCAAUGUGAAUUUCUUAAAAAGUGACCAAUAUUAAAACGGCAACUAUAUAAACAUCUACAUAAAAUCCAUUCAAUUACAUUCUCCCAAACAAGAUCAAUCAAUUAGAGGACUGAAGAUAAAUUUAUGACCCAGGCACAAACUUGGUGGCAUAGACCCAUGCAUUGUUGGCCACAGGGUUGUCAAGGUGGUCCAAGAGGUUCUCAAGAGGACCCUUCCCAGUGACAAUGGCUUGGACAAAGAAGCCAAACAUGGAGAACAUGGCUAGUCUCCCAUUCUUGAUUUCCUUGACCUUGAGCUCAGCAAAUGUCACAGGGUCAUCGGCAAGGCCGAGAGGGUCGAAGUAUUGCCCUCCAGG
rnacentral:lncRNA from 1 species